rnacentral:lncRNA from 1 species
AAAUGGAAGGUUAAACAUUACCAACCAAAAAGCAUGAUAUGAAGUUGCUUUAUAGAAGUUGACAAAGUGGAAAUCGAGCCAGGUACUUUGAAAAAGGAAAAUAUAAUAACAUUUUUGACAUUUUUAUUUAUAAUAAAAUUAUAUUUUUAUCUUUACAAGUAAAAGAAAAAGAAGAAAGAUAACUUCUUAUUGGAGAGUAUCUUGUUCCAAUUUGACAGAUAAUCUAAAUAUUGGAUCAAGUGGUAGUGGGCAGAUGAAUUUGACAAUAGUAAAUAGAAAAUAUAUGAUAAAAAAAAUUUAUAUACGGAUAGUGUAUGAGUUUUAUACAUGAUUACUAUAUUAUUCAUCACUUAUAAUUAAUCAUGAUUGACUCUUCAAAAACAUUAGUUCUAAUAAAUGAUAAAUAAUACAAUGAUUAUGUAUAAAUAUUUAUAUUGAUAAUGCAUAAAUAUUGGAGUAAAAAUAUACUGAUUUUUAGGUGACCAUAUCACUUCCCAACCUUAGUGCAUCUAUUCACAUUUUUGUUGGGUGGUUAGUGUUACCGAAGACCCACUUACGUGUUUUAAUUUUAAUGAGUAAAGCAAGCUUUUUGGCAUAUAGUAAUAUUAUUAGGUGAUAGUGUAUUAUUUAUUGAGUACCAAUUCACUAAGUUCUAAGCAAUUAGAACUAUUUUACUCCUUUUGUUUAGUGACUUUAGUCUCUUUCCCCCUUAAUCCCAUGACCCCAACCUCUUGAAGUUGAAUGUUUUUUCUCUUUUUCCACACUUCCUUUGCUUCAUGCACGCUCGACCAGCUCAUUCAAAGUUAGAUGUAUUAUGUUAAAUGUAUCAUCAUAUGAAUGAGGAGUUAUCUUAAGCGAGACAACAACUCCAAUAACUAUAUCUCCAUAAUGAUGAUGUAAGAUGAAAACGUUUAGUUUAAUCCUGGUUUGCAAGUUUACUAGAAUUUCUUCUAAUUAAAUCUCAUGACACAAACUGAGCUCAUACCUGCCUUAAUAAAGAGAUAUAAAUCAUGUCCCAACUGAAAAAUUAUCUGAAAAACAUUUUCUCAUGUAAUAUAAUACACAUAUAAUUACUUCUAAUUUAGAAGAUAAAAAUAAUAAACAAAUCAAAUAAUUUUUUAUUAAACUUUAGUAAGGAUGGGUAUCCCUAGCCCUCAUAGGAAUAAAAUUUGUUUAUAAAAAAAUGUUUAGGAGGAAAAAGAAAUCAACGCAAACCUGCAAAAUUAGUGUAAGCUUUAAAAACAAAAAGUUGCAAAAAAGGGUUAUAUAAAUUCUAACCAAUUUGUAGACAGAGAGUUUAUAUGACAACCUUAAUAGAUUAUAGCUUAUUUACUUUACUUAGCUUAAUUAGACUCAGGGUUGCUUUGAAUUGAGUUUUGAGCUGAGAUUAACGAGCUCAAUUCAAUUCAUUUAUUUAACUAAGCAUAAUUUUAAAUUCAAUUUCAACUCAUACAGUUAACGAACCAAAUUUAUCAAGCUAAAUAAUAAAUGAAGUUUUGAACGAAUAUCGAAUUGAAUCACUUCAUUUUCUAGCGCUAAUAAGGAGAUCAUAACUUUUGAAAAAAAUAAUAUUCUAGCCGGAAGUUGUGAAUAGCUAGUGUGAGCAGUUGCUGAUAAUUAUAUUUUUUCUUUAAUAUUUAGCAAAUGAUAAUUAUUAUCUCUAACCCAAUGUGAUAUUAUAUAUUCUUUGAAGUCAUUUAACAAAACUCAACUAGUUGUACAUCUAUUUUUUUCUUCAAAAAGCUGUAUCAAUCAACUAACUACAUAAUUAUUAACUUUGAGGGGAGGACUAUGGUGAUUUGCAUCACAGGGUUUUACUUUGUACAGAAACCCAUUGCACUCUAGUUGGUGUAUUAGUUAGUUAGGAUCAUCUAUUAAUUAAUUUUAGAUCUGAGAAUUGAAGUGUGCUUAGAGAAGAGUGGUGGUGUUUUUGUUGGAAAGGUUGCAGUAGGGAUGACAGAAAGAGGUUUUGUACCAUAUAUCAAUGUGCCAAUAUUGGUUGGUGGAAGGAAUUUCUAGUGGAAGAUUGCACUUAGUACCAUUUUUAAUAUAUGCUGAAAAGACUUGUAGCUUCUGUGUAAUAAUAUGGUGUGGUUGUCAUAGAAAAGAUAUGGAGGAAGAAUUCAUUCCAUCUUUAUCUGUUUUACUAAUGCAUGCAAAAAAAAUGUAGAAUCAAUAUGCUCAUUGGUUUUAAUAACCUUUUAAAGUUAUAUUGUAAGUAACAUGAUUCCUAUGUUCAUCAUUCUUUUCUGCUUGUUAAAAAUAAUUUUCUGACUCUUGGGUAGGAUAAUGGAAUUAACUUAUUUAUGUCACAUUUUACAUUUUAUCCCUAAUUCAUGGUCCAUAAAAAGGUCCUACCAUCCCCUUAUAUUAUUAAACUCAAUUCUAUCGUUGCAAUUCAUACAUCAUACUUGAACCAUUUUCGUGUGCAUGUUCGAAUAGAAAACAACUGUCCCAAAGUCUGUCUUAUUUCCUUGUCCCGGCUUUGGGAUUAGUGAUCUAUGUUAUGACAUCUUAUUAAUGCUUGAUGGGGUAGCUAGCGUCCAUGGCAAUGCCACAAACACCAUCUUUAUCCCCAAUAUCACGCUUAAUCUUAAUAUAACCAGAAUCACCCCAAUCACUUGCCCAUGAAUUCUUCACAAGCCAGUAUUUGUGACCAUUUUCUUCACCAUACCCAACUAUAGUCAUGCCAUGGUUAAGAUCCUUUCCACAACUUCUAGAGAAUAUACCUUUUGAGUAAAGCUGAAACUCAUAACAUCCAGCAUCAAUUGCAACAGACACAGGUUGAUUAGCAGCUGCUGCUUUAAGCAUUUUCUCAUUUUGAGAAGGUACAUUUUCAUAGCCACUUAUGUUGACUGCAUGGUUUCUAGCUUUUUUACAUGUUCCAUCUGAACCAUGAUAAGGAUAGUCUUUAUUGGUUGUGAUUCCACCAUGUUUUUUGAUGAAUGUGAAUGCUAUUUCCAUGUCACCACCUUGGCAACCUAAGUUCCCAUUUUGUAUAUCACAAUCUAUGAGUUGUUGUUCAGAUAGGGAAACCAACUUUCCUGAUUUUAUUUGGUUAAUACCUUCCACAGCUGCCACUGCUGAGAAUGCCCAACAACUUCCUGCACCAAGAGUUUGGUGCCAUCACAAGUAGAUAAAUAUGAUAGAAUUAUAGAAGAUUAUAUCUAUAUAAAUGCUAUAUGUUUAUUUGUAUUAAACUUAUUGUCUUUUAGGUGUGUUUACGAGUUGGUUAUUGAAGGACAACGAAGGAAAAAGAAAGACUUAGUGUUGGGAAUGUUUAAAAUAUGUUAUUGUAUGAAGUCUCAAUUGCCUAGCAUUAGAACAGAGUAGAAUAUCAAUGUUAUAUAUUGGACUCAGGUCCCUUGUUGUAAUCUGUACCAUAUAUAAGCACCAAAUAGAAAUACCUCAUGGGCAUGUGGACUCAUGCAUGGGCGGAUGAUUUAAGGGCAGGUGGGGGCAGCUGCCCCCCUGAGUUUUUUAAAAUGUUUUUUUUACCUUAUCUUAUGAAAUAUAUUUGUUGUCCUACAACGUAUGUUACUUUAAGUGUCACUUGUUGUGGUUGACCAGAAAAAUAAUUAAUUAUUAAAUUUUUAAAUUAUAAAAGAUGAUACAUAAAGUGACACCUUUUUUGGAAUAAGAAAUAUAUUCUCUUUACCUAUACCUAAAUGUCUUUAUACAAAAACUCUUUGAAAUUUAAAUAUUUCUCUAAUUUGUAGCUUGAUAAAUAAAUAUUGUGUAACUUGUAUGGUUAUUCUAAAAAUUAUACGUGAUGAAUCAAGCUCUUAACAUACAGAUGAUGAUAUUGCUUAUAGUAAUAUGCUUGAUUUGAGUGCGUAAUGAUUUACACUUGAUAAAAAGAUUAUGUAUGUUUUCGUAAUAUAUAUUCUAAGGAUGCUUAUAUGUCAUUUAAUGUUGAUAGUAUAUGUAUUUUUUUGUCCAAAAAUUUUAUCUUAUGAAUUUUAAUGAGCAACAAAAGAUUAGUUUAAAAUGUCAAUUUGAACAUUUUUUCUUGGAGUCAUUAGUCAUCAUUCAUGUUUGAAAAUUUCUAAAUCAUUGUUAGUCAUAUAGUGUUUUAUUAAGUUAUUUGUUUUAUCUUGACUAUUGAGAUUCAGCUACUAUAUAAAUAUAUUUUUCAACAAUGAAGACCUAUAAACAAAAUUACAUAGUAAGAUAACAAAUGAAUUUCUUGAAUACAACAUACGAUUUAUAUGAAAAUGAAAUAUUUGAAUUUUUUACUCUAGUUCAGUUAUGUGUGUUUUUAAAAAUUUUCAUUACUAAAUUAGUUUUAAUUGUAAAUAGCAACUAAAUAUUAUUGCCCCUCCUAAAAUUUAGAUCAAGAUCCGCCACUGGACUCAUGGGUGUGCUAGGGUUUGUAAUCCUUAUUCUCUAAUAAUAUUUUGGUAGCCGCUCAGUAGUAGAUAAUGGCUAAAGAGGGUGAAGGCGUGAUGGCGACAAAGAUAGAGUAGAUGGGUUGAAGGAGAAGAAAACAUGGCAAAACUAUUGUGGGGCGAUGUAUGUGUUGAUCCAGAACCCCAUAAGUUUAUGUAUUGGGUUACGAUCAAGGUGGAGACAGGGACUCAUGUGUUGAGGUUGACCUAGAGACAGAUGCUGACAAUAUCUCUCUAGAUAUUGAGAGAAUGUUCUCAUCUGAGAUGAGAAAUGGAAUAUCCUAAUGGCAUGUCUGAGACGUCACAGUGAAAGAAGUUAAUUGUUAGCACAGAUACACAAAAACACAGAGGUGCUGACUCACUUUGAUGUAAGGUGUAACAUGAGGCAUUGGCUUUGAUGCAAGUUGUAACACGAGCAUUGGUAGAGAUACAGAGGUGUGACAUGAGCAUUGGCUUGGAUGCAAAGAUGUGACACAGACAUUAGUUAGCAUUGACGCAAGGUGUGUGUUGUGGGUAUACUGCUUAUGGUGGAAUAUGAUAGUUCUUUUGAACUAGGAUUGUCGGAGUAGACAAUGGGGGUAGCCGUUGAGGCUUUCCAAGGAAGCUCCAAGGUUCACUUUGAUUGAGUAUUGAAGAGGACGAUUGUUGGUAAACUUUUGUGUAGAGGUUCCAAUAUAUUGAAGCACUUCCUAGCAAUAGGUGGCUAGGCGGCGUGUUCCAUUUGCAGAGCUAGGCUCUUGGUAACAUCAUCAAGGAUACUCAGAAAGUCUAUGUUGUAGGGGAGCAGUUAAAUAGAAUUAAACAUUGAGAAAAGUGGAGUCAUAUAUUUGCUAAGAUGGAGAUUAUUGUGUAGAUUUCCUAAAGAACAAGAUAUUCGUCUAUUUCAAUCAAGGUGGAGAUUGUUGGGGAUGUUUGAAAUAUGUUAUUGUAUAAGUCCCACAUUGCCUAGCAUUAGAAUAGAAUAGAAUAUCAAUGUUAUAUAUUGGACUCAAGUCCCUUGUUGUAAUGUGCACCAGAUAUAAGCACCAAAUAGAAACACCACAUGGGUAGGUGGGCUCAUGGAUGUGCUAGGAUUUGUAAUCCUUAUUCUCUAAUAUUAUCUUGGUAGCCGCUCAGCGCUCCCAAUGACGUAGGCACAAUUGGCCAAACCUCGUUAACAAAUUUUCUUGUUUCUUCUCUUCUCUUUAUUCUAUGUCUUUAUUUGAUUACUUUUGGCCAACGCUGCGCAACGAUUGCUUCCGCUGCACCAACACUUAGAGUUAUGAAAUACAUUUAUGAUGAAAUGACUUUCAAGCCCUCUAUUUAUUUUCCUUCCCAUCUAUCUAAAAACUAAUUAGCAAAUGGAUUCUUGUACUGUGAUUCAUUUGUGAGUUAAGUUUUGGAUGAAAAGGAAGAGAAAAUGAAGUUUCAGAUGCAUGAAAUAUACUUAUGAGAACUCUAAACUCUGAAGCUUCAUUUUUACUUCCCAUCUAAAAUCCAACACGCAAACAACUAUUAAGGGCACCCAAUUUCAAAUGAAAUAUUGAGACUUUUAUAAAUCAGUAGUUGAUAACUUAAUGAUGUAUGUUAUACUUGCUAUUUUGCUGUUCUUUUUAAAGAAUUUUAGUUACCUACUAAGGGUCUAAAAUCAAUGAGAAGUGCACCAUAUGAGAUUUGUUUUAUAUCAACUAUAAAUAUGAGAAAUUGAAUAAAUUUAAUUUGGCUCAUCUAAACCAAUAAACUUUACCACAGUUGCCUUGAUCCUUGAUAUUUGUUACUGCACCUUUCUUCCUCCAAUCAAUGCUUUUUGGUAACUCUCCAUGAUCAUGAUACCUAAAUCUUGUUUUCGAGUAAAGCCUAUGUUGUCGAUAACCCAGAUGGUUACUUUUAAACUCAUCAUUUGUAAGAUCUGCAAACUUGUUAUCUUUGAGCUUGUAAGAAUAGUUUUGAGAAUUGAUGGACUCUAUGAACUUAACAUUUGCUUGGUAAAUUCCAAAACGUACUUCCCAUUCUUCUUUAUCCUUGUAUUUUCUUCCAUGUUGUUUCAUCCAACUUUCAUAUCUUCUUUUCAUGGCUUGUGUAUCAGAUGAAGUAUUCUUGUGCAUUGCAUGACUUGCACUUGAAGUUAUCCAUAGAUUGCACAGAAGAAGAAGAUUGAGAAUAGCACUGCCAAAUUUUAUAGUUAUGUUCAUUGCAAGUACACUGUGUAGUUAUAGAAUAAUGAAAGCUUGGAGUAUAUUUGUAAGUAUAUGCUUUUAUUCUCAACGUGAUGCUUGCUUUCUUUAUGCAUUGCAAUGCAUGUUCAUUUCUCGUACCCAUUUUUUUCGUGCUUGCGAGUUUUAAGACAAUGAUUCCAUGUUCAUUCUCUCUGCAUGACCAUGAUUUAAGACGUACAGGUCUUGAACUUGCUUAAGGUUUCCCAGCCCAAAAAAACUGAAUUCUAACGCAUUUGAAGAGUUAUUUUUAAUUAAUCAAAAGGUAUAGUAUAGUUUUGAUUUCUUGUAUUUUUAUUGUCGAUAGACAUAAAAUUUACUUUAGUUGAGAUCUUCCGUAUCAUUUCUCUAUGUUUAACUCAAUACCAUCAAUAAAAUUUUGACAAAUAUACAUAAAAAAGAAUGAAAUUACUUUUUAAAGAUAACAGUAUUAUACCUCAUAAAUUUGAUUUGUUGAAAAGUGAGGGCAAAAUUAUUUUGACAUAGAUGAUUUUUUUUGCUGGUCCAUGUGCAUUAAGGUUUCCUGCUAAUAGCUAAAGAUUAUUUCACUUCAAUAACAUCUAUGUCUCAAAAUUGAAUUAGUUUUAAUCUCUAUAUAUCCUUAGAGAAUAGUGAUGACCAAAUGGACAAUUUCCUUCUGCCCACAGAGCCAUUAAUUUUUUGCAGACGUAAUAUAUAAAUUUAACGUAUUUGCUCAUUUUAUCCGGCCACAAUGUGAUUUGUUCAAUUUCAUAUAAAAUAUAAAAUUUUUAUUUUUUUACUCUCAUCAACUAUUUUAUUCAAUUUCAUUUUGUUUUAUUAAAUGAUUUUUGUAAUUAUUUAUUAAUAUCUGCAAACCACAUGCUGCUAGCAUAUCAUUUUAAAUGGUUAGAGAUGAAAUUUUGUUCAUUCAGGCAAUAUAGACAUAUCUAUGUUUACUUAAAUUUUGCUAGCACGAACAAAAAGGCAAGACAACCCAUUCUACCAUAUCUAUUUGAGAGACACCUUUAACAUAUUCAACAAGGUGUAACCCACACUUAGAAUGCACCAGUGUUGUUAAAAUUGUAUAAGUUAUCAAACCGGUUAGGGUACUCGUAUAGUGGUUCAACGGGUGAUUCAGUAAUUAAACUGCAUGCCAGUUAAAUUGGACAUAUCUGCUUAUAUAUAUAAACCUAUAACAAAAAUUUUCAAUUAGGUAGAUACUCAAAUUUAUAAUCCAUAUUCAUAAUCUACUUAAAAUUCACAUAAAUAAACAACUUUAAGUUUUUAACAAAUUCAAAGUCUAAAUUACAAAACAUAUAUCAAUCCAAAAGUAUUACUUAACAACCGCAAAAUAUAAAUAAAUUAUACAAGUUCACAACUCACUCUACAAAACAAAUAAAUUUGGAGUUUUAACAUUUAACAUUAAGGAGUCAAAGUUGUCUCAUAUUGAGAUUAUAUUUUUGCACAAAUCAUAUCUUUAGACAAUACUCCAAGAUUACACAAAUGUCACUGAGAUUACACACGAAUGUUAAGAACCAAAAUGUGUAAUCUAAGUAUGUCUUGGAAGCAUGUCUCUUGAAGUGUUGAAGCAUGGUUGAAAAGCUGGGUCACCUUCUAGCACAACGCUGUUAAACAUAAUACGAAAGAUAAUUAAGUAUUUUUUUAAACAAGCGUUGUUAAAUUUGAUAGGUGGAUAUAACUUUAACAGUGCUUUCUUCAAGAAGUGUUAUUGUAUGUUUGCCUAAGAUAUUUAACAUCACUUUUUAAGCAAAUGUUGUUGAUUUGAAUCUAUUUAACAAUGUUUCCUUAAAUAAGCAUUGUUAAAUGUGACAUAUCAACAACGCUUUUUACAAUAAGCAUUGUUAAAAGUCAUAUGUUCAAAAAACACUUGUUUUAGUUAUUACUUAAUAUGUAUUUAUGAAAUUCUUUAAAUUUAUUUUGAAAUAUAUAACUCGAGUAAACAUUACAUGAAAAUAAUCCAAUUUGUUAACAGAAACUCAUAUGCUAGUUUUUUCCCCAUAUAUAACACAACUUGGCCAUACAUAUAAAAAGUGCAAUUGUUUAUUACUUCAAAAAAAUAUUCUGAAUCACCAAUCAAUAUUAUUAAAAUAGAAUAUUAAGGUAUGUGGUUUGACACAACAAAAACUCAUAUUUGGUAAAUAAAUUAUGUUAUUUAUCCUUUCAUUAUCAAAAGUUGAACAUAAUAUGACAAUUAAAUAAUUUUAAUUUUUUUUGACAUUUAACAGCACUAUUUUAAGCAAACGUUGUUGAUUUGAAUCUAUUUAAUAGUGUCUCCUAAAUAAUCACCGUUAAAGGUGACAUAUCAAUAAGGCUGUUAAAAGUCAUAUUCAAAAAGCAGUUGUUUUAGCUAGUGAGCGCGAAUCUUUGCUGAUUUAAAAACAAAAUCUCACACACAAUAAUAUAUUUAUUAUUCAGUAUUCUAUUUAUCUUACUCUUCUUCUCCUCUUAUUUUCUCUCUUCAAGCAAGUUAUUAACUUUUGAUUUCUAUUUUCGGGUACAAGGUGAAUCAUUAUCUUAUUUUACCUUAUUAUUUUUCCUUGAUUCACUCUUGUUGUUUGCAUUUACAUGUAUGUUAACUGCUUAUUUUAUACUAUAGGAAAUGUCAAGGUUGAAGUUGGGCGGAACUGUUGGUGAUUUACCAAACUUGCAAUCAGAUCUGUAUGUACUUCUUACAUUUGGCUAUUAUUUUUUCAUCCAUAUUUUCUAUAUAAAUUUUAAUUUGAUUCUUAUUAUAUUGAAUAUAAACUAUGUCCUUCUGUCUUCUUAUUUCUUUAGUGAAGGAAGAAAAUAAAUUCAUACAUUUGUCCUUUACAUCUUCAUCACCUUCGUCCAUUUGAUUACUACAUAUGAUAUUCUGGGUUAAUGGAUUUGAACUAAAGGAGAUCAGUUCAUGCAAUAGUUUAUGAAUUGAGUUUUCAAAAUGAUAUUUAUAUUGUCUAAUCUCUGGUAAAUGUGGGAGAAAUAUCUGAUCAACGAUAGAACAAGAUCCAAUUUGAAUCAUAUUUAAGGGAUUCCUUGGUUCGGGCCGAAGAAGUAAUGUCACUCGAUCAUUAUCAAAUUGAUUGUAAUUUUUCUAGAAUUGGACAUGUUUGAUACGUGUUUGAUAUAAUGUCUGUUAUAUUAUGCGUUAUUUAUGUAUGAAAUCUAUGACAACACUUUGUGUACGAUGCCUUGUUGUAUAUAUGAAAUAUAUGACAACGCUUUUUGUGUGAUGCGUUGUUGUAUAUUCAAUACAACAACGUAGUAGAAGCACUAUUAAUCAUGACAAUAUAUUAUUGCGGUCAAAUAGAAAAUACACAAAAGCAUUGUUAUAUAUUUAAAAUACGCAUUGUUGAACUAGAACUUUGGCGUAGUGAGCCAACACUACCCCAUCAUUCUCAGCCACACACCAACAUUCAACAACAUUAAUAUAAACAAACUUUACACAACAAGUAAAAAGGAAAUGAAUAGAGUAUUGGUUAAUAUGAAUUCCGUCCACGAAGAUGCUAUAUUGGCAGGCACUUCCUUGAUUUACAAAGAGAAUGGAUAAAUAAACAUGCAUCCUAUGCACUUAAUCAUUACCUAGAGAUUUAUUUGUCAAACUCUUUUCUCAUUAUAAAUCUAAUUCUAGUUAAGAUAAGAUUGAUGAAAGAAUAAUGUACCUAGAAGCACAUAGACAUGCUCAAAUUUGCACAUCCACAUAUACCACUGAAAAAAAGUUAUAAAAAAAUUACACAUAAAAAGUUAUAAAAACAUAAAUUAACAAUUUUAUAUUAAUGGUUGGAAUUUGAUUAGACUCUCAAAGUAAUAGCGCAGAGAAGAUAAAAGAGAAAGAAGAACAAUAUUUAUUUCUUGAUACUCAACUUAGAGAAUCAGAGAGAGAGAAAAAGAAUGACCAACAAGAAAGGCUUGAUCAAUAUACAAAGUGAGAUCUCAAUUCUAAAAGAGGAAAGUAGUUAAAUUCAAUUCAGAUUACAAAGCUAUAUAUAGCAUAUAGGAAAGUAAAACAAAAAUGGAUCAGUCAAAACAAAAGAUGCCCAACAGAAGUAGUUAAAAUACUAAAGCCCAUAAUGAAUGAAGAGAACCAUGUUAAGGGGAAGAAGCUCAUUAACACCAUUGUUGCUUGAGAAUGAAGGUAUAUGUUUUACAUCCCCCUCAAGUUGGAAGGUGGAGAUCACGAAGUCCCAACUUGGAAAUGAUGCAAUGGAAAUGUUUAUUUUGUAAAGGCUUGAUAAAAACAUCAUCCAACUUGUCUGAUGAAGAGAUAGCAAGAAGCUUAACAAUAUCAUUUUGAAUUUUUCACGAAUCACAUGACAAUCGAUUUCAAUGUGUUUCGUAUGUUCAUGGAAGACGGGGUUAUGAGCGAGGUAGAUGGCAUACUUGUUGUCUUAAAAAACAGGGGUUGGAACUUGGAGUUGAAGAUCAUGGAAAAGAUAAUUCAACCAUUGUAUCUUAUAAACAAGUGUUCCCAACGCACGAUACUCUGCUUCAGAGGAGGACAUGCUCACUGUUUUCUAUUUGUUGGUUUUCCUAGACACGAUGGAAGAACCUAGAAAGACGCAUAACCUAAUGAUGGACCUUCUUGUGUCUAAGAAACGCCCAAUCAGAGUCUACAAAGGCUGAGAGUUUGAGGUUUGAGUUGGAAGAAAAAAAUAAACCUAACGAGGGAGAUGAUUUUAUGUAGUGAAGAACCCACAGUGCAACAUUAUAGUGAGUGUCAUAAGGAGUGUGGAUAUAAAGGCUAAGCUGCGGAACAACAUAAGAGAGGUCUGGUCUUGAAAUGGUGAGGUAAAUGAGUCUCCUACUAGUCGCUUAUAGAGGGAGGGGUGAGGUAAGGGGGGCAUGGUUAAGUUGUAAUUUGGUGGAUGGAUCAAAAGGUGUUUUUGAAGGUUUUGAUGCUAAGGUUCCCGUGUCUUGGAGGAGGGAGGGAGUAUAUUGUCUCUAGUUGAGGAUGAGUCCAGAUUUCUAUCUUGAAAUUUCAAGACUUAAAAAACAUCUUAAGAGGCCUAGGUCUUUAAUUUUGUAGGAAUUGUCUAGGAUUUGUUUGACAUAAUGAAUCUCAGGGAGGUUAUUACCAGCUAAUACCAAGUCAUCUACAUAGAUAAGUAUGUUUGUAAAGGAAUGUGGAGAAGAUUUAGUGAUGAAGGCUUGGUCAGUAGAGGAGUGUUGGUAGCCAAAAUAUUUGAGUUUAGAGGAGAUGGUGAGAUGUUAUUCACGGCUGGCCUAUUUGAGUCCAUAGAGGGACUUAUGUAGUUUGCAGACAAGUUUGGAAGGAGAAGAGAGGAGGCCAGGUGGAGGCUGUAUGUAUAUUUCCUCAUGAAGGUCACCAUGGAGGAAAACAUUGUUGAUGUCAAGUUGUUCCAAAUGCCAAGAUUUUGCUGCUGCAAGUGCAAGAAAGAUUAUGACAAUUGUGAUUUUAACCACUGGAGAAAACAUCUCGAAGUAGUCUAUGCCUUCCAUUUGAUUGAAUCCUUUAGCCACAAGUAUGACUCUGUAUCUCUUGAGGUUGCCAUCAACAUGUAGUUUGACUUUAUAUAUCCAUUUGCAGCUAAUGAGUUUUUUGUCUUGUGAAAUAGGGACAAGGGACCAAGUGUUGUUGAAAGAAAGUGCCUUGAGUUCAGUUUCCAUUGCUUCUUGCCAGCAAGGGAUUAUAGAAGCCUGUUUGUAUGAAGUUGGUUGUAUGGUGGGUAUGGAACAGCAAAAAUUCCUGUAGGAAUUGAAGCAAUUAGUAUAAUUGAGAAAUGAUAAUAAGGGACAAAUGAUACCUUGUCCAUUUUCGGUUAUAGUGGAUAAGGAUUGAUCUUGUGUAGUGAGAAUGUUGCAAUGAUAAUCCUAUAAGUGUGUAGGAGGUCUUCGAAUUCUGUUUGAGUGCCUUAAUUCAGGUAAGUUGUUUUGUGUUGAGUGUUGUGAAUUAAGUAAUGGAAUUGGUGUAACAAGAACAUGAUUAGUAUAAGUAUUUGCAAGCUCAAAAAUAUCAGUAGAUUGUGUUUGUGUAGGCAUAAUCUUACAAAUAGAAGAAGAGAUAGUAUGUGUAGUAAUCUGAAAUGGAAAACAAUUUUCAUAUAAUAUAACAUUUCUUGAUAUAAAAUUGAAUGGGAAUGAAGAUCAUAUAAUAUAUAACCUUUUGUUCCUUCUUGGAAACCAAGAAAAGCACCCUUAAUAGAUCUAGGGUGAAAUUUACUUAUGUUGGAAUGUACGUAGAUGCAUAGUUGAGACAUCCAAAAGCUCUCAAGUGAUCAAUAGUUGGAAGAACGUUAUACAAAUAGUAAUAAGGACUUUGUUAUUUGAGAAGGGGAGUGGGAAACCUAUUGAUUAUAUGUACUCAUGUUUAAUAGCAAAAUUCCAAAUUUUAUUGGCAAAGAAGAUUGAUAGAAUAAGGCUUUUGCAGUAUUAAAUAUAUGUUGGUAUUCCUUCUCAACAAUACCAUUUUGUUGAGGGGUUUCAACAUAAGUUCUUUGAUGUAUGAUUCAUUUUGAUGCAAGGAAGUCAUGCAUCAAGAGCUCCACCUCAUUAUCACUUCUUAAGGUCUUAAGUUUAGUGUUGAAUUGUGUUUCAACGAAGGAUACAAAGUUUAUAAUAUUGGGUCUGGUUUCUACUUUAGAUUUCAUAAGAAUAGCCCAAGUGAAUCUACUAUAAUCAUCUACCAAUGUUAGAAAGUAUUUAUGGCCAUAGAUAGAGGGAACAACACAAGGUCCCCAAAUGUCUGGAUGUAGUAAUUGAAAAGGGUGAGUAGUAUGUUUUGUGCUGUUAGUAAAAUGAAGUUUUCUUUGCCUAGAAAAAUGGCAUGCAUCACAUGGAAUGAAAUCAGAUUUAUUAUGAACAAGAAAGUAUUGUCUAGCAAGAAUAGACAUGACAGAGUUAGGUACAUGACCAAAAUGUAAAUGCCAUAUGUAAUUGUUUAUACUUUGAUGAGUCCUAGUGGUAAAAGCAAAAGAAUUCAACACAUUAUUUCUUGUUUAUGGCAUAUUUAGUAUGAAUAACCCAUGUUGUAUCCUAGCUGAAUCAAUCAUCCUCUUGGUAUGGUUCUGCAAAAUUACACACUAUUGUUGAGAGAAAAUUAAAUGGCAUUGCAUAGAGUGCAUCAAUUUUCUAACAGAAAUAAGGUUGAUAUGAAAUUGGGGAAAAAGUAAUACAUGUGAUAAAAUAAGGGAAUCAAUAAGUAACAGAUCCAGAUAUGCAAGUUGCGACUUUCUCACCAUUGGGUAAAGUAAUGGAUAUAAGAGAUAUGAUCUUGAAUGUGCUAAACAUGUUGAAUUGAUGAGUUAUAUAAUCUGUAGCACCAGUAUCUAAAAGCCAUUUAGAGAUAAAAUCCUUACCUGGUGGAGGAAUAGGUGAUGUAGAAUUUACCAUAGAAUUUGCAGAAUGUGUAUGACCAGUCUUUUAUUGAUUUAGUAGAUCCCAAAUGCCUUGAACAUGUUCCUCAUUGAAGACAAUGUUGCUGCCUUGUGGUUAAGGCACACUUUCAUUGUUGUUGUCUUUGUCAAAGGAAUAACCUUUUGUAUGCUUCACCAUCUUUGAAGAUCUUGUAGAUUGGUACCCACGAGGAUAACCAUGCUUGAGAAAGUCGUUCUCAACAGUGUGAUUGUUUCUCUCACAUAAAGUGAAAAAUCUAUUGUUUUGAUUUCUUCCAAAAACAACGUAUUUGUUUCCUUUUCCCUUAGUAAAAGUACCUCCGUUUCCUCGAAAAUUAGAAGUUGUAGUAGUAUGGUUGUUUCUAUAUUGAGAUUCUUGCUUGGAGUUUAUUGAGAGAACCCUAUUUUCAGGCUCUAAACUUGGAAUAACAGGCAACUGAUUUUGUCUUUCUUGUUGGAUAAGAAGAGCAUAGACCUUAGUAAUAUUUGGUAGAGGUUCAAUCAACAUAAUUUGGGAUCUAAUUUGGGUAAAUUGUUCAUUUAGGCAUUCUAAGAAGCAGAUAAAAUAGUCGUGUUCCUUGUAGGUCUUUAGUGAUUCAAGAGCACCACAACAGGAGGAUGUAGGGCAUUUGCAAUUAGGGACGGGUCUGAAAUUUUCAAUUUCAUCCCAGAGUGUCUUUAGCUUUGUAAAAUAAUCAGAAAUGUCAAGUUUAUCUGGCUCAAGGUGAUAAAAAUCUUUUUGAAGUGCAACAAUUCUGAACAUGUCUCGAUGGGAGAAUCUAUCAUGUAAGUCUUUCCCUACCUCAGCUGCAUAAUCAAUCUAUAAGAUUGACUUGACAAUAGAUUCUUCCAUAGAGUGUUGGAUCCAUGAAAGCACCAUUGUGUUGCAUCAGCUCCAUGAACCGUAUAGUGGAUCUUUAGGAAGGGGUCGAGAUAGGAAGUCAUUGAUAAAUCAAGCUUGUUCUUGGAUUCCAAGGCUUACCUCAUGGCUCUUGCCCAUGAAUGAUAGUUCUUUGUAUUCAUUGGGGUGUAACUAAUACCAUGGUUGGGUUUUCGUUGGAGUUAAGAAAGAAGGGAUUAUUGAGUUGAUCAAAAAUGAUGUUGUAAUUUGACAUGAAAGAAGCUUGAAGGAUGUUUAUCCCGAGGAUCAAAAGAAGAGAAAGAAAUGAUGAAAGUAGAAGAGAAGAAUCAGAGCCUUAGAGCUAUGAUACCAUCUCAAAGUAACAGCGUAGAGAAGAUAAAAGAAAAAGAAGAACAAUCUUUAUUUCUUGAUACUCAACUUAGAGAAUCAGAUAGAGAGAGAGAGAGAGAGAGAGAAAAUGACCAACAAGAAAGGCUUGGUCAAUAUAUAAAGUGAGAUCCCAAUUCUAAAAGUGGAAAAUAGUUAAGUUCAGUUUAGAUUAGAUUACAAGGCUAUAUAUAUAGCAGAUAGGAAAGUAAAACAAAAAUGGGCCAAUCAAAACAAAAGAGGCCCAACAUAAACAUUUAAAAUACUAAAGCCCAUAAUGAAUGAGGAAAACCACGAAUGUUGAGGGGAAGAAGUUCACUGACACCAUUGUUGCUUGAGAGUGAAUGUAUCUGUUUUACAUGGACAUUGAGACAUGAUUUUUUUGGGACGUAUGAUCUUUGUUCCAAAGUAAAGAAGACGAGUUAGGAUCAUAUCCAUUAAUAGAAAUUCAAGUACUUCAAAAAACCAAGAGAAAUACAACUUUCAAUGACACAUUUAUCCUUUCGAUUUCAAUAGAAUUAUAUUUUUGUCAUUAAAAUAAAAUAAAAAUACAUUUAUUUGUAUCUCCGUUAAUGAAGAAGAUCCUUGUUAAAAAAAAAGACAAACCCCGUGUGCAACCAAUUCACAUGGGAGCAUUACAUUAUCCUUCACAAGAUGGCCUCUCUUUUCCUCCAUCGUCACAAGUCUUCCCUCGAGUCCACUCGAUUCUACUUAUCUAAAUUACUACACCUAGCUAGCUUUUUUAAUAAAGUAAUUAAUGAAACACCUUGCACCUGAUGCAUACCACCAUGGUAAUUACAUAUUGAGAGAAAUUGUAGAAAAAUGUGGUUAAUUCCAACAUAAUUGUGAUCAUCAUACAUACAACUAUAAUAUUACACCUUAAUCUCAUGCACAUGACUUUAUUCUCACAUAUGAAGAUCACAACCCUAUAUGAUUUCACCAAUCACUAACCUCUUCAAGUGGGAUAUGAUAAUAAUAAUUCUAAUUCUGAAUACCAAGUUUAACAGAAUAAAAAUAAAGUGUAAAAACUAUACAAAUCCCCAGAAGAAAAAACAAAAUAAUAUUAAGAACAUAACACAUGCCUAGAACAAUGGCGGAAACACAUAACCCAAGAAGGGCCUUCCUCCUCCACCGUAUCUGCCGCAGGAAUCAUAGUAACUGAUAGUGUCUUUAAUCUUGUGGAAUCCAUGCUGGAACACACCAAAACCAAACAACAUUCCAAUGGUGAUCACCACCAGAAUUACGCAGAUGCAUAACAUGCAAAUCUUCCCUGGACAACACAUUUCUCACUAAUAAUCAACCGACAUAACAAAGCUUCAAUAUUCCCUUAAAGUAUUGGAAUGGUAGAAAACAGAAAUAAAGAAAGAAGAAGAAAAAGGAAGAAGAAAGAAAGCUCUGAGAUCUUUUAUUGAAUGAAAUGCAAAAGAUACAAAUGUUAAUGUCAAAUCCACCCCAAAAGAAGAAUGGAAAUCGAAACUUAUAGAACACUCAAAAACAUAGAGCUAACACAACAACAACAAACACUACAAAUAGAAACUAACCAAAACAGAAUAACUAACUAAACUAACUACACAAUCUAUAAAUGGAAAUAAUAAACUAACUAGAAGCAGAAGCCUGAAACUCAAUACUGAAUAUGCUGCAAUAUAAAGGGUUUCCGGAUCUCAGGGACUGAUGAUAAAUUGUGAAGAUAAUGCAGAAUUUAUAAGGGAAUAAAACAAAAGAGAGAGAUAAGAAGAAGUGUUGGACUUAUAUAAUAUAGGGGACACAGAUCACCUGUCCCCAUUCCUGUCCAUUUUCCUAUCCCGGUCCAAUAUAAAAUUGACACUUCAUUAAAAAAGAAAAAUUUAAAAACUCAAAGUAACAUAUGUGCAUUACUUGGAAAAAUCCUAUUGGCUUGGGACAUAUGGACACACUAAUUUUAGGACAUGUGAUCCUCAUUCAUAAUAUAGGACUUUUUUUGUAUCAGUAUCCCUUAUUUUUUUGGUAAAGUCCAUUUCAGUUAUCAUUGUUUCUCUCGAGUGUCAGUUUUUAGAAAUUGAAUCGUUGUCGUUUUGGGACAUAGCAGCCUAACCGGGCCUAUAUAAUAUAGGAUUUUGAUAAUAUGCAUCAAAUGAUAAUGGAAUUUAACAAAUAUAUAUCAAAUAUAUAUUAAAUUAGUUUUUAAGUUAAUAAUAUUACCCAAGUAUUUAAUUGGUUGGAAAUAUAAAGAUAAAAUUUGUUUGGUAUAGAUAAUUUUUGUUCAUUUCUUAAUUAUAUUUUGUUUGGUUCAAAUGACCUGGAGGAUAAUAACCUUCUUAUUUAGAAUAUAUAUAUAUAUAUAUAUAUAUAUAUAUAUAUAUAUAUAUAUAUAUAUAUAUAUAUAUAUAUAUAUAUAUAUAUAUAUUGGUGAUGCAUAUUACCCUUUUUCUUAUUUAGUUAGCAAAGGGAGGGAAAUUUGACCAAAAUACUUUUAUACCCUUACAUGAAGUGAUCCCAUUUCUUCGGCUAAGAAGAAUUAACUUAUAACAAAAGAGCCAAGCUUUUACAAGCUCAAUUAUGCUUCUAUGUACUGUCUUACGAAAUAUGUUAGUUCAAUAAGCUCAUGAGGCAAGUGGACAUCAAGCAUGUAUUUGUAUGCAGAAGCUUAGCUAUAAGGUGCUGAUAGAUUAGCAUUAUCAGAACAUUGUUCUUUAAUAUUUGGAUCCUCUUUCAAGUAUGACUAUAGAGGCUUUUUAGUUCCUGUUUUGUUUUGGGCAUUUGUGCCCAUAUAUCUGCCUAAAAGAGAAAGCAAAUAAAGGAAAAAACUCUGAUCUAAGAGCAGUUGAAUGAAAACAAAUGAAGUGGGACUAUUUGUAAUCUGAUGAUAAAAACUAUACAGAUGCAUAAGGAUGUUUAGCAUCAUUCAGAAUCAGAACAAUAAUAGUCAAUUAUCGAAGCAAGUGAGUUGGGAUUUUGGUUUGGGUUCAGCCGUUGCACCAAUAUAUUGGCUAAAAUAAUGUGAAUAAGUUGUCAAAUACAUUCUUUUUGGAUCAACUAUAGUGACAUGAUACUAACAAAUUGUAAUGAGGCACAAGUAACCUUCUCUAGGCCUCCUCAUACCUAUAAAAAUAUGACAACAAUAAACCUUAGAAUAUAAAAUCUAUGUGUAAAGAUAUAUACAUAAUUCGUGAUCGUUUAUUUGUAUUACUUUUAUUUAAGAGUCAAUGAUGAUUGAAAAUAAACGGUGAAUGAUACAAUAACAGUGUAAAAAACUCUUACACUGUCAGUGUAUGUGUCUUUUUCUCUAAACCUUAAUUGUAUUAGGUGGGGUUGGUUACAUGAAUUUAAUGAUGUCAUAAUGCAUUAAUUUUUUUUUCGAUAAGGAAAAAUUGUAUUAAAAUGAGCACAAUACAAGAGAAAGAUCAAGUAAUGAUCUUCUUAGAAUUUAGAAUGAUACAAACUUUUGGGUCCAUACACUAAUUUGCAAAAGAUAAAGAAGAAGUGUUGUUUGUAACAUUGAUAAACCAAAUCCAAGAUCUAGUUUGAAUUAAAUCAAAUAAAUAAAUUUUUCCUAAUCGUUUCGCUAAAGAUUUCUCUCUUUCUCUAAGAAUUGGAUUAACCUCCAAUUGUAUAUUCUCCUUAUUAGAGCUUCUACCGGUCUCUUUCACAUGCAUCAUAACACGAUUCUACCAUCUUUUCUAAAAUAUUGAGUAUUAAUAAAAACAAUUACAUCUUGCACAAAGUGAAAUUUGGGACAAUCAUUGAUCAUGCAAAAGAACCCAGGUUUGAAUAGUAUAGAAAACUGACCAUGCAUUCAACCAUAUUUAAUAAAUUAUUCCGCAUACCAAUCAUUGAUCAUGCAAAAGAACCCAGGUGAAUAGUAAGUUGAUAUUAAAAUCUAGCUCUACUCUUGCAAAAGAUACAACUCGAUUAAGAAAAUUGAGAUAUUGAUAUGAAAUAAGCUCAGCUUUGGCCAUAUAAUAAACAGCUACAAAUGUAAAAGUUGGAUGAGAAGAACCAAUGUGUCUAACAAAAAAAUGCAAAAGACAGAAUGAAAUUCCAUUUACUUAUAAUUUGAUCUCAUAAAUUUGUUUAGUUGUGCUUAAUAUACCUAUACGAGAUUUACUCUGAACUAAAACGUGAACUAAUAAAAUAAUGAACCCUACUAAGAUUUAUCCUUGCCUCUAGCACCUUCAGAUUGAUCUGAAACCUCACCAUUAGCAUUCUAUUCACCCUAAAGCUUUACUUGGUCAUCAACAGAACCGUCAAAUCCACCCCAAAAGAAGAAUGGAAAUCGAAACUUAUAGAACACUCAAAAACAUAGAGCUAACACAACAACAACAAACACUACAAAUAGAAACUAACCAAAACAGAAUAACUAACUAAACUAACUACACAAUCUAUAAAUGGAAAUAAUAAACUAACUAGAAGCAGAAGCCUGAAACUCAAUACUGAAUAUGCUGCAAUAUAAAGGGUUUCCGGAUCUCAGGGACUGAUGAUAAAUUGUGAAGAUAAUGCAGAAUUUAUAAGGGAAUAAAACAAAAGAGAGAGAUAAGAAGAAGUGUUGGACUUAUAUAAUAUAGGGGACACAGAUCACCUGUCCCCAUUCCUGUCCAUUUUCCUAUCCCGGUCCAAUAUAAAAUUGACACUUCAUUAAAAAAGAAAAAUUUAAAAACUCAAAGUAACAUAUGUGCAUUACUUGGAAAAAUCCUAUUGGCUUGGGACAUAUGGACACACUAAUUUUAGGACAUGUGAUCCUCAUUCAUAAUAUAGGACUUUUUUUGUAUCAGUAUCCCUUAUUUUUUUGGUAAAGUCCAUUUCAGUUAUCAUUGUUUCUCUCGAGUGUCAGUUUUUAGAAAUUGAAUCGUUGUCGUUUUGGGACAUAGCAGCCUAACCGGGCCUAUAUAAUAUAGGAUUUUGAUAAUAUGCAUCAAAUGAUAAUGGAAUUUAACAAAUAUAUAUCAAAUAUAUAUUAAAUUAGUUUUUAAGUUAAUAAUAUUACCCAAGUAUUUAAUUGGUUGGAAAUAUAAAGAUAAAAUUUGUUUGGUAUAGAUAAUUUUUGUUCAUUUCUUAAUUAUAUUUUGUUUGGUUCAAAUGACCUGGAGGAUAAUAACCUUCUUAUUUAGAAUAUAUAUAUAUAUAUAUAUAUAUAUAUAUAUAUAUAUAUAUAUAUAUAUAUAUAUAUAUAUAUAUAUAUAUAUAUAUAUUGGUGAUGCAUAUUACCCUUUUUCUUAUUUAGUUAGCAAAGGGAGGGAAAUUUGACCAAAAUACUUUUAUACCCUUACAUGAAGUGAUCCCAUUUCUUCGGCUAAGAAGAAUUAACUUAUAACAAAAGAGCCAAGCUUUUACAAGCUCAAUUAUGCUUCUAUGUACUGUCUUACGAAAUAUGUUAGUUCAAUAAGCUCAUGAGGCAAGUGGACAUCAAGCAUGUAUUUGUAUGCAGAAGCUUAGCUAUAAGGUGCUGAUAGAUUAGCAUUAUCAGAACAUUGUUCUUUAAUAUUUGGAUCCUCUUUCAAGUAUGACUAUAGAGGCUUUUUAGUUCCUGUUUUGUUUUGGGCAUUUGUGCCCAUAUAUCUGCCUAAAAGAGAAAGCAAAUAAAGGAAAAAACUCUGAUCUAAGAGCAGUUGAAUGAAAACAAAUGAAGUGGGACUAUUUGUAAUCUGAUGAUAAAAACUAUACAGAUGCAUAAGGAUGUUUAGCAUCAUUCAGAAUCAGAACAAUAAUAGUCAAUUAUCGAAGCAAGUGAGUUGGGAUUUUGGUUUGGGUUCAGCCGUUGCACCAAUAUAUUGGCUAAAAUAAUGUGAAUAAGUUGUCAAAUACAUUCUUUUUGGAUCAACUAUAGUGACAUGAUACUAACAAAUUGUAAUGAGGCACAAGUAACCUUCUCUAGGCCUCCUCAUACCUAUAAAAAUAUGACAACAAUAAACCUUAGAAUAUAAAAUCUAUGUGUAAAGAUAUAUACAUAAUUCGUGAUCGUUUAUUUGUAUUACUUUUAUUUAAGAGUCAAUGAUGAUUGAAAAUAAACGGUGAAUGAUACAAUAACAGUGUAAAAAACUCUUACACUGUCAGUGUAUGUGUCUUUUUCUCUAAACCUUAAUUGUAUUAGGUGGGGUUGGUUACAUGAAUUUAAUGAUGUCAUAAUGCAUUAAUUUUUUUUUCGAUAAGGAAAAAUUGUAUUAAAAUGAGCACAAUACAAGAGAAAGAUCAAGUAAUGAUCUUCUUAGAAUUUAGAAUGAUACAAACUUUUGGGUCCAUACACUAAUUUGCAAAAGAUAAAGAAGAAGUGUUGUUUGUAACAUUGAUAAACCAAAUCCAAGAUCUAGUUUGAAUUAAAUCAAAUAAAUAAAUUUUUCCUAAUCGUUUCGCUAAAGAUUUCUCUCUUUCUCUAAGAAUUGGAUUAACCUCCAAUUGUAUAUUCUCCUUAUUAGAGCUUCUACCGGUCUCUUUCACAUGCAUCAUAACACGAUUCUACCAUCUUUUCUAAAAUAUUGAGUAUUAAUAAAAACAAUUACAUCUUGCACAAAGUGAAAUUUGGGACAAUCAUUGAUCAUGCAAAAGAACCCAGGUUUGAAUAGUAUAGAAAACUGACCAUGCAUUCAACCAUAUUUAAUAAAUUAUUCCGCAUACCAAUCAUUGAUCAUGCAAAAGAACCCAGGUGAAUAGUAAGUUGAUAUUAAAAUCUAGCUCUACUCUUGCAAAAGAUACAACUCGAUUAAGAAAAUUGAGAUAUUGAUAUGAAAUAAGCUCAGCUUUGGCCAUAUAAUAAACAGCUACAAAUGUAAAAGUUGGAUGAGAAGAACCAAUGUGUCUAACAAAAAAAUGCAAAAGACAGAAUGAAAUUCCAUUUACUUAUAAUUUGAUCUCAUAAAUUUGUUUAGUUGUGCUUAAUAUACCUAUACGAGAUUUACUCUGAACUAAAACGUGAACUAAUAAAAUAAUGAACCCUACUAAGAUUUAUCCUUGCCUCUAGCACCUUCAGAUUGAUCUGAAACCUCACCAUUAGCAUUCUAUUCACCCUAAAGCUUUACUUGGUCAUCAACAGAACCAUUCAUCUAACCUCUUUCGAAAUCUCUCGACUUCUUUUCAAUCGCCAAACAAUUCAUCCUAUCUUCCUUCUUGCUUCAGGCAUUCAUUUUUCAGUUCUGCCACACUCAAAACAAGCCCCCAGAUCGACGAACAUCCUUGUAAAAGGGUUCAUCAGCUUGCGGACAACGAGCUCUAUAUUCAGCAAAAGCCUUAUGUGUUUCCCUUAUGACUUCUCUGUAGCUCUCUACAAGGUUUGACAUCAUAUGAAGUUCCUUCUCUAGCCUAAAUAUCUUCUGAUUCUCAUUAACCUUUUCUUUUUGCAAAUGCUCUAUCAUGUUAUCCCGUUUCCGAAUUUCAUCUCGCAAGAUCUGUUCAUUCAUUGUAGACCCUUCACAAGACUGACAUUUUGUUUGAUAAAUCAAUCUAGCUUUUCCCAUCGAAUGUUGCAUCUGAUCCAUACACAUGUUGAAGUCAACUGGCUCAAAAUUCAAUUGGUUUUCACUUCUUAGCCGCUUGUUACUUUCAUUCAUAAAACGAUGUGAGUUAUGAUCAUCCAGGCCAAAUUUUCUCUUCUGACCAUUACCGAAAAGUGAUGGUACUCUAGAAAUCAUUUGAGGGUCAUCAACAUAACAGAUAGAAUCUUCUGCAGAGCUUCCACUGAGAUCAAAUCCAUAACUAAAAGGCACCGGCAUUGCUUCCUUUGCAUAAUUGUAACCCUCAUGCUCGUCUUCUGCAUCUUCUUCACCUACAGAAUUGCCACUGAGAUCAAUCGUAGAACUAAAAGGCAUUUGAUUUGUGUCCGUUGCAUAAUUGUAACCCUCAUGCUCUUCUUCUGCUGCAGAAUUGCCACAGAGAUCAAUCCUAGAACUAAAAGGCAUUGGCUUUGCUUCCAGUGCAAUAAUGUAAUCCUCAUACUUGUCUUCUGCUGCAUCUUCUUCUCCUGAAGAAUUGCCACUUAAAUCAAUCUCAUAACUAAUAGGCUUUGGUAUUGUGUGACCCUCAUACUCAUCUUCUCCAUCUUUGUCUCCAAGAUCAAUCCUAGAUCUAAAAGGCAUUGCUUCCAUUGCAUGAAUGUGACCCUCAUGCUCAUUUUCUUCUUUCUCAUUCUUCUCCUCUUGUGUUUGCAUAUGUUCUCCUUCUUCAUCCUUAUUUUGAACACAAUCAAAACCCUUAAAAUCAGUAAUAUUACAUAGCCGCAAAAUGUGUUCCUCUGUGCUGCUCUUAGGAUCCGAAAACCAAUGCAUCGAUUCUUCCUUAUUCAGUUCAAAAUCCAUUAUUUGUUCCCCUUCAACCAGCUCAUUUUCCACCACAACUUUCUCAACAUUAUAUUGCCCCAAACUAAAUUCAACAUUGUAAUCAUCAACCCCAAUGAUCACAUCACUACUCUUAUCCUCAACCUCCACCAACGACUCCUCAAGCUGCGUCUUAAUCAAACGAUUCAAAUGCGAUGCAUAAUAGCAAUCCACCAACCGUGGCGCCUUCAAUUCCUUCUCCACCAUGCUCCACAUCAACCCUAACCAAUCAACCUUCUCCAAUAACCCUUCUUUAAUCAACUUCUCACAACGCAAAACCACAUUAGGUACUUCACAUACAUCAUCAUCAUCAUUCAAAACCAUCCAAUUCCACAUAAAUUCCUCAACGAAACCAAUCGAUUCAAUCAAAUUCAUUCCAUCCAACACAUUGUCCACAACAACUUCCCCCGUCAAAUUCAUAGCACGCCCAAAUUGGGCUUUGUUCACCAAAACCCUAACCCCAUUAACGUAACCGCAACCCAAAUUAGGCGCGUAGCUUGCAAUCAACUGCGCCACGAGGUCGCCGCGAAAAGUGGAAUCAAACUCGACGUGAACGAAGUCCCAGAGGCCGAGACGGUGCAAAAGAGUCGCGUGGUGCGUGAAGUUAAGAUCUUUGGUGGGUUUGAAAUGAAUGGGUUUGAAGGUUCUGAGCAGAACCAAAAGCUUCUCCAUUGUUUUCCUUUCUUGAUCGAUUUGCAUUCGAAAUGAAUUUUCCCGUUUCGGUUCCAGGAGGAUUGGAACGACGGCGUUUUGGGGUUUGGGGACGUUUGAAUUUUGAGGAUUGGUGUGAUCUUCCAUUAGAGAAAGAGAGUUUUGGUUUUUGAAGGAUUUGAGAACAGUGGAGAAGAAAAUAAAGGGUUCUUGUAGUAGAAGAAUUUGAUAUCUCGUUCCCGCCAAAUUACGAAUAUUUUUCACAAUCUUUUUUAUAUGAUAUAGGUUUUGGACUUUAGUAAUUAUAUAUAUUAUUAUAUGGUAUUCAUUCGGUUAGAUUAGAUUGAAUGAUGAUAAACCUAAGGAUUUAAAUCAAAUCAAAUUGAUAAAGGAUUAAAUCCUAUUCAAUAGUUAUUAUACCUGUUUAGUUUAUCUUUCAAAUCUUUUACAAUAUUUUGCAAUUAUUGCACCACUAAUACAAGUCAAACCUUUUUUAGAUUACUCCAUUCUUUACCUCUUAAUUAUCACUUUAAUUUAAUUUUUCACAUUGUUUGUGAUUUUAUGGAAUCUAAGUAUUAAACAAUUUCGUUUAUCAGUCACUUAUUAAUUUUGAAACUACUUCUAUUGAAAAUAAAAAUAAUAUUGUCAAUUUUAAAGGUACAAUUAGGUGCGUUACUAAACUUGGACCGAUUAUUGACAAGUCAAAGUAUUAGAUUAAUAUGUCAUUACUCAAACUAGUGAAUCAUUGGUUUGAUCAAUUGAGUCGAAUCCCAGUUUUGCUAAGGGAGCAACUCCUUUUUCACCUUGAAUUGGUCAGAUUGAUAUUUUAAAAAAAAAUUAUGAUUCAUAUUAUAACACUAUUUAAUAAUAUAAUUAUAGACAUUUAUUAUUACACAAGUAUUUGAUUAGAUCAUUAAGAAACCAACAAUAAAGAUUUUGCUACAACAAAGCUUGUAGUUGUUAUAUAUUAUGUUUUUAGUUUUAGUUUAUAAACUAUAAGAUUAUAAAAAUGUGAGAUUAUAAUCGAUUAUUAUUAUAAUUUGUUUAUAUUUAGGUAUCUUAGAUAAAAACUUAAUAUAAGCUAAUCUAUAUCGUUUGGUUAAGAUAGAAAAAUUAUUUUCUUAAAAAAAUGGUAUGAAGUUAUUUGUUUAUGUUAUAAUUAUUUUUUUAUUUUUAAAGUGUAAAAUUUAUCAUCGUAUAUAUUUAUACUAUAAAUUUUUAACUUUUAAUACCCCAUAAGAAAGACUAAACAAAUUUAAAAUUUUUUAAUAUCAAUAUUUAAAAACAGCAUGACACAAGUAAAUUAAAAUUUAUUGAAGUUUAAGGAGUAAAAUUGAAAGUAAAAUUGGUUGGAAACUCAAUAUAUUCAAAAAAUUGUAACCCACUAUAAAAGAGACACUACAUUAAUAUACGGAAAACAAACACAAAAUAUACAAAUAAGUUAAAAACAUUAUCACACAACAUAUAUUUUAUGUUUUAAUCACAAUAAACAUAAUUACGAAUGAGUUAAAAAAAUCAGAUUAUUUUACUCUCAAAUUAAUGUCGUUUUGAUAUUUUUUUAAAAAUUAAUUGAAUUGAUUGAGUCGAACCAGUUGAGUCACCAGUUUUAUUCAUAAAUAAUUGAGUCGAAUUGGUUCAUAUGUUUUUGCCGAAUAAUUGGUCAGAAGAGCGACUCGCAUUAGUUAGGCGUCUGAUUCACGAUAAAUCAGUCAGACUGGUCGGUCCGAACCAAGUUUAAUACAAGAUUAUGAGAUAUAUAGUUUAAUCAAAACUACAUUAUUUAAUAUUAUAGUUGAUAUCUUUAAUGAUUACCUUAAUCUAUAUACUUGUAUUGAUCCGAUAGUUAAAAUGGGAUAAAUAAAAUAGAUUGAUUGAGGUCACUAUUAUCUCAAGUAAUGAAUUAAUAUAUGUUCUAGUACUAAACUUAAUCGGUAGAGUUAUAAGAUAUAAAGUGCCAGCAUCUAUGUUUAAAUUCUAAUAGUUGGAUAAUUCCAUCACUAAGGAGGCUUUAUCUAAAUCAACAUUAAAGUUAAGUUUAUCUAAGCGCAUUAGAUUCUAAAAUGCAAGUUACAUGUUAUAAAGUUAGAUUUAUGCACAUUACAUUUAUUUAAAUGUUCGAAAUCAACAAAAUUAAACUUGAAAUUGAGAAAGAAAAGAAAAAUGAAGUUAAUAUAAUUACAUGCAAAAACAAAAUAACCACCAAGAUAACAUAAAAAUGUCAUUUUGCUAGAAAAGUAAUGAACUCUAAGCAACAACCAAAAUUAGAAAAUAAAAUAAAACAUACAUUUUUUACAUUAAAAAAGAAAAAUGAUAUAUUCUCCUAUUAAUCUUUCUACUCAUAAAAAAGUAACAUUGUCACAAGGUAUUACUCUAUUUAUUAAUGAUUGAUUUACAAGUGACAUAUGUCACUUUCUUGUAUGUAGGAGAAUUAAUAGGAAGAUAUAGUAGAAAGAUAUAACAUUACUCUUAAAAAAAUAUUACUUUCUUAAGUUUCUCUAAGCAUUCAUUUUGCUUAGGGUUGUCAAUUGGAUGGAUAUGGAUUUGGAUUAUAAUGGAUGGAUGAAAAACCAUCCAUCAAUCCAUAUAAAUCCAUAAAAUCACAUUUUCAAACUAUCCAAUCUAUUCAUAAUGGAUUCCAAUCUAUCCAUAUAUCCAUUUUAAUGGAUCGGAUGGAUGAAUAUUCAAUCCAUUUUUUUAAUUUGAACUAAAACGUUUUUCUAAAGGAAAAAUAUUUUUAAAAAUUAUUAAUUAAUAGUAUUUUUAAAAAUCAAUUUAAAAAACAUUUUUAAAAUGUGGUUUUUUAAAAAGUAUUUUUUUAACACGUUUUAAAAAAUAUCGGUAUUUAAAUUUACCUGUGGAAGCUUUAAAAGACAAUAGUGUAGGUGAAGUCAGAUAUAUUGUAUUGUGCAAUGAUGCAUCUUUUUUUGUGCUCAAUCAUGACACAAAAUGUUAUAUCAAUCCUUAGUGAAACUUCUUGAGAGAAUGCUUUGAUAAAAAAGAUAAUACUCUUGAAGGAAUCCUUUUGUUAGGAAGAUAGUAGUUUAUAUCACUGGUAUCAAAAUCGGUUCAUGUUGGCCAGUUCAUCCGGUGAAUUGGUCUUAAUACCGUUAUGAUUAGGGGUGACAAAAUUAUCCAUAAUCCAAAAUCUAUCCAAAUUAAAUUCAUCCAAAUCCAUAUGUUAAAAUUAAUUGAUUUAAAUGGAUAUAAUCCAAUGGAUAGUGUUGAUAAUAGAUGUAUUCAAAUUCAUCCAUUAUAUUCAUGAGUAUAUCCAUUUGGAUUGAUACCCAAUCCAUCCAAAAAAUAAAACUAAUUUUUUUCCAAUUAAUUCAAUACUAAUAUAAAAAAUCUCUCUCACAUUUCUAAGCACAAUUCCACACAUUUUACAAAAGUUGAAAAUUGCAAUUGUGCUUUUAAAAAGUGCUUAUCAAAAAAGUAUAAAUGAUUUCGGCCUUAGUGCUUUACCCCAACAUCUUAAUGAAAAGUAUAAAUAUAUCAUUUUUGUUAUUGACUAAUGUGAUAAUAUAAUAACAAAAUGAAAUAUUUUAGGAUGAUGGACUCUUAACAUAUAACUUAUGGAAGUCCCAAUUAUUAGGAGUGUAAGCGGUUCCGGUUUAAACCUGAAACCGAACCAAACCAUAAAAUGCGGUUCGAUUCAUUUUUUUUUACUUAGAACCAUUUAAGUUUGGUCCAGUUCACGGUUUUAUAAAUUUUGGAACCAUGAGAACCGAACCGCAUAUUAAAAAAUAAUUUAGAAUUAUUAAUACAUAUAAGCUAUAAAUAAGACGACGCAAAUAGAAAAAAUAAAUUAGUAAACAAAACUAAAUAUCUAUUAUCUCUAUUAUCCAUUGAGAAGAUAGAAAGAAAGCUCAAUAAUUAAUAUACAUUUUGUCAAUAUUCAGAUAUGAAAUUAAUUAAAUAAAUAAAUUAAGGAACUAAAAGAAAAUAAAGGAAGAACUUGAGGACAUUACUAAUGAUGUGGAGUAUUAAGUGUUACUGUUGGACUAAAAUAUUGGUACCAAGUUUGUCAUUUUUAAAUUUUGUUGGACAUUGUCGAAGAUUUUGUGGACUAAAAUUUCAAGUUUGUAGUGCGUUGAGAUGUUGAAUUAUUAUUGUUUUACUAGAAAGAGUAUUAAAUACUUUAUUAUUAAUGUGUUUAAUAUUCAUUUAGUUGACUUUAUAUCUUGCAAAUUUUGUUCAUCUAUUUCUUAAAGGAUUUUCUUUUAAUAAGUUAAAAAACCGACUCGUUAAUGAACGGUUCGGUUUGGUGCUUAAAUAAAAUUUGCGGUUAAUCGAGUAGAAUCGACUCGUAUCUUUCUGUUAGGUUGAGUCACUAAAUUGCGUAAAAAAACCGAACCGAACUUUUACACCUCUGCCAAUUAUGUUGCACAAGAGAUUCUUACCAAUAAGAGUGCUUAUAAAAAACUUCAUAAAUUCACCUUUUUAAAAGUGCUUAUCAAAAAAGCAAUUUUUAAAAGUGUUUGUUAAGAAAAUUAUUUUUUUAAAUGUGUUUUAAAAAAAAAUCACUUUUUAAGAGUAGUUAUUUAAAAAAAACACUUUUUAAUUUUUUUUUAAAAUUGAUAUUUAAAAAUGAUUUAUUAAAUAAUAAUUUGUACAAAUUUUUUUUUACUUCAAAUUGCUUUAUUAAAUUUAUUUUGUUCAAAUUAAAAAAAAGUGGGUUGGAUAUCCAUCUAUCCAAUCCAUUAAAAUGGAUAAUGGAUUGGAAUCCAUUAGAUAUGGAUGAAUUGGAUAAUUUAAAAAUGUGAUGCAAUGAAUUUAUAUGGAUUGGUAUAUAGUUUUUUAUCCAUCCAUUAGGAUCCAAAUUCAAAUCCAUCCAAACUCAUCCAAUUGCCACCCUUAGUUAUGAUACAACAUUUAUAACAGUCAUGCAAUUAUACUGGUAAAAAACGGUAAUACCAGACGGUUUUCAAUUGAACCGUACUAGUCAUACUGACUGGUUUCAUUUAAUUUUGUUUUUAAUGAAAAUGAUUUAUUUUUACCAAAAUAUUUGUAUGGAUGAUCAAACGCACAACUACUACAAUUUUUAUACAUUUAAAACAUGGUCUACAAUAUACAUUUUUUAACAAGUGAUAUAAAUAAAACUAGUUAUUAUCUUCUUUAUUGAUUUGUCAACAUUAAUAUUUGUAUCAAAUAUAUGAAUAUCUAACUUCAUUGACAUGCGUUUUAAUAGUGAAACAUUGGUUGAACCACCAUACCAGUAUACUAGUACUCUAACCGGUUCGAUGAUCAUACGAUAUUAAUAACAUUUAUUUAUAUUUUGCAUGUUGGGUUUGCGUAGCAAAGUAAUGUUGCUUUAUGAGAAAAAAAUAUUUUUGUUUUUAUUUUUUGGAUGUAUUGGAUAUCCAUCCAAAUGGAUAUACUCAUGGAUAUCUAUUAGAUAUAAUAGAUGAAUUUAAAUCCAUUCAUUAUCAACACUAUCAAUUAGAUUUUAGAUUGUGGAUAAUUUUGACACCUCUAAUAUUUUUGCAAUCAUUCAUUGACACACUAUUAUGCACUGACUCUUAAAAAGACCCCUUAGGAAUACCUGUCCAAGAAAAAUACAUAGUGAGAAGAAGUAAAAAUCAUACACAUAAAGGACAUGUGGAGAAAGAAAGAUGAAGAGAAAGCAAAACAUAAUAGCAUCUCUCAAUAAUUUUAAUGAAUAAGCUUCUAUGGGAAACUUAGAAGUAUGGAAUUGUCAAAAUCAUAUUUCUUAUAGUCAAAAUCAUAUUUGCUCUUUAUCAUUAUACUUGUUGUUCUCGUGACUUCAUCAACUCUCAUUGUUAUUAUAUUUUAAUUGUCAUUGUCUUCGUUGUGAUUCUUAAAAGGUAACAUAAGAUUUAAAAAUUAAAUAAAAAGUAUAACGCCCAAUUUUCCUCAUCUGUUAAUUCCUAAUAACAUACUAAUAAGAUUGAUUCCAAUAAUUAAUUAGAUGAUAAGGGGAAUAUUCCUAACAUUAAGGAAAGGUGCUUGGAUUUUUCUUUUUACAUUUUCCUAGACGGUAAAUCUUUGAAUGCAUUUUGGGCCUUUAGAUGGGCCCAUUUCUCACUAAAGAGUAAAGUAUUUUACCUUGAGUAUGAAAAUGAAAAUUGUUAAAUAAUGGGAGACCUUCAAUGUUGAUACAAAAAUAUCUUUUGCUUUUCAAAGAUAUACCCCAAUAGUCUAUGAAGAGUUGUUGGAUUUAUAAGUUAGAACUUACCAUCAAGAUUGAUAUAAAUUAAGAGACAGCGUGAUAAAUAAACUAUGUCCAUUUGACCACAUUCCAUAUUUCAUAACUUUCUCACGUCAAACUUAAACGGUAAACGUACUUCUCGUUUUAGGCACGGGCUUUCAUCUGAUGAAAAAGAACGAGACUCUUCUCAAACAAGACGAGGCAAGUCAACGAUCUCACCUAAGAUUUACAUUGGAAUGGUAUAUUAUAUAUGUUUCAAUAUCCUGAGAUUUAUUUUGUUAUUUCCUUAUAUCCACAAGAAAAUGAUAUGUAUCAUUCGUAAAUCAAUUAUUAAUAAAUAAAAUAUCUUUUAUUGUAACAUAUGUUACUUUAUUGUAGAUAUAAAGAUUUAGUGAAUAAUAUAUCAUUUUUGUUAAAAAAAUUAUUUACAUAUUAACAUAUAGUUAAAUGAUUAUAUCUUAAUUAAUUCAAACCCUAUUCACUUCAGCUAUCCACAAUAAAAGUUUUUCUUAUUAGAGAAGUCAAUUUUUUGGGGACAAAUUGUGUUAUUUAGUGUUAGUCGGAUAUCGCCGAAACGGGGAUCUGAUUGAGUAGUUUGCAUCUGGAGACUGACUAGAAUGAGGUUUGGACCUGCCAGUGGAUGUACCUGAAAAUGUUAUCCGACGUUCAAGGCAGUAUGAGUUUAAGGAAAAUUGAUAUGAAUAAAUGAGAGUAAAUGCUAGCAAUGAAUGAGAGAGUUAAUAUGCUUAUGAGUAUGAGUGAGGUAUUUAUGAUGUAGGAGAAUAUGAGAAUAAUGAAUACUUCUUGUAAGGGAACACCCCUUAUUUAUAAUAAAUGCCAUGGCUACAUGUCAUCUAUCUAGUGGCUGAUGGUGACUUGGCAGUAUGCAUUGUAGGGGUGUAGUGAGUAUGUUCCUGCCACAUAGCAGAUUUGUCUUUGACCGCGUCUGUCAGAGGGUACAGGUUGGAGUUACAAGCGGCGUGACAGAACUCAAUUGUGAUGCAUUGAAUAAGGUGUCAGGAGCAGUGACACUUGACGUGAGGUGAAACAAGCCUCCAAGAUGAACUUGUCUAGGCAGAGCCCAAUUGGGGGAUGCAUUUAAUGAAGUGCAGCGACAUUUAUGAGGCUUAUGCAAGGAUGAUGUAAGAGUUUGGUUUGUGUCUACAUGUGCUUUGUUUGGUUGGAUGGGUCCUAUCCUGGUCGGACGAGAUGUCUAGUUUGACCUGGAUGGAUAGUUGCCCCCAGUCUGUUAGCAUGAUCAGCGAUCGAGCGUGCUGGCAGACUCUCUGUCUUUGGGCGAUCUUGGGUGUCAUGGGGUAUGGCUGACUUGAAGCAUAAUAACCCUAUGAAGGGAAGUGUUGCACUGCAUGGUAAUAUUAACUUGCUUGUUCGAAAGUAGUUGGUUGGUCGGGAUGAUGACGUGGCCUCCGACCAUGCAACCAGAGGGGCCGACCUAUCCGGGGAGAAUUAGUUGGUCGGAGGGUUGACAUGGCACUUUCCUUCCGAGUGACGUGGCAGAGUAUGCCAAAAGUCUGUUGAUGAGAUUUCAAUCGUUUUUGGUGAUUUGGUGAUAGGUGACAUACGUGGGAGUUAUUGCUAUGUUUUACUAGUGGUUGCCACAUGGAAGCCAAACCUGCCUUUUGUAUGAGGCAUCCGAACGCAAAGGUCAUGAGUCAUGAUAGCUUGUUACCCCUUCGUCACCUGUCCGAGUUUUGUGGUUCAAAAGGUUGGGCCUUGCAAUGGCCUUUAGUCUCACUCCCCCUAUAAAUAGGGGGUCACUCAUUCAUUUUCGCAUCACUUUAUUUUCUCAUAGUUUUUGAAGUUUCUUCUUGCAAUUUGCUGCUACCGGGCUAUCUUCUUUGUUGAAUCCUUACCUUGCCUCAUUUCAGUUUUACUUACUAGAUAAGUCUCUCUUUUCCUAUUUCCUGCUACCUUUAUUAUUAUAUCUAUAUGGAUCCUCGUAUAGAGCACGACUCGAGCUCUAAUGAGAUCCUGGUCUUUCCCGAACUGCCAUCAUCAUUCACUUCUUGGUCAACCUGUCACCGCUGGCGUACGAGUUUCACCUCUACUCGUGGUUAUGGUCAGAUAGACCUUUCUCUUUCGUCGUUGCCAGGUAACCUGAGUAGGGGAAGGGUUGGAAUGAAUACCAACACUCUGGAUCGGGCAUAUUUUCUUGAGAAGUGGCAGUCGGUUCUGGAUGGGAUAUCGAGUUCAGAUUAUGACACUUCCUCUAGUGACAUGUUGAUAAUAUGGAUAAAUUUUGCUGACCGAGCCGAUCUGUUUACAAUCUCGGAGGCAUUGAUCCAUCCGAAUUCACAAUAUUGGUGGGUGGACCGUGAGGUGCUAGGCAUCCCCAAUUCCUACACGGGCACAACUAAGCCGAACAUGGAGUAGUCAACCAAAGUGAGAGGCUCACCGGUUCCAAGAAAGAAAGGUCUUGUGUCUUGUAUUGGAAGUUUGUUUAUAAAAGAACUCAUAAUUUCCAUAGCGAUGAAAAAUCUCCCAAGAUCAGAAGGGGAGGCCUGAAUGUAGUAUGCAAGUGGACCCGCGAACGAACUAUGAUAAAAGUUGUGCCUCAUUCUUCUCAAUCCUAAACUCUUUACAUUUUCGUAUUACAUGAUUUACUUAACUUAACAUGCAUAUCAUUAUGAGUUAAUUGCAUAUUUUGUUUUGUGCAUUUACUGUUCUUAAUCAUCUAAAAGAUUGCAUAUAAGUUUACUUGAAUCUUGGUAAUAUUGGAUAUCAAAGAAAAUUACUUUUUUUAUAGAACAAGAACUGAACAAUCGAUUAGGUUGUUUAGUUAAUUGAUUAUCUGCAGAACGAGUUAAUCGAUUAUAGCUAGUAUUAAUCGGUUAAACAAUGUGUGAAUUUAUAUAAUCUGUUUGUUUAUCGAGCAACGAUAAUUGUGUACCGUAUUACUUAUUCACCCCCUCUAGGUGAGCUACAGAGCCAUGUGGGACCCAAGAAGUCUCUUGACCAACGCGAAAAAGAGAAAUGUGCAGCUUGAUUUAAAAGCAAAAAAAAUUAUAACCUCCACACUUUCAUACAAUGAGUUCUUUAGGAUUUCUGAGUGCAAUAGUGCCAAUGAUAUGUGAGACACUUUAAAAGUAACACACAAAUGCACUAGUGAGGUUAAACAAUCUAGCUUGAAUACAUUGAUGCAUGAGUAUGAGUUAUUUCGCAUGUUUCUACAUGAGUCUAUUUCAGAUAUACAAAAACAAUUUACUCACAUUAUUAACCAUCUCAUUGCAUUAGAUAAAUAAUUUGCCAAACAUGAACUAACGAAUAAAGUGUUGAGAUGUCUUGAUAGGAAUUGGCAACCGAAGGUGACUGCCAUCAUGGAGUCAAAGGACUUGGAAAAAAUGACGUUCACAACAUAAUUUGGCAAUCUUUAAGAACACGAGAUAGAAUUAAGACGUUUGACACUCAAUGAGCAAACAAACGAGAACACCAAAGAACUCUCAUUAAAAGCGACAAAAUCAUAUUCAAGAAGUCAAAAGGAGAAAUAUGAGGAUGAUGAGUUCGAUUCCAACAUAAGUGAUGAAACCAUGUCCUUUCUCACCAACAAAUUCAGAAAGUACUUAAGAAUGAAUGCAGGACUCAAGAAGCUUCAUAAAGAAGAUGAAGAAGUUUCAAUCAAAAUGAGUAAGUAUCCCAAAGACAAAGCAACUUGCCAUAAGAGUGGGAAAGUAGCCCACAUGAGGUACACAUGUCCUACCUCUCUCAAGAAGAUUGAACAUGAUAACAAGAAAGACUCUCGGGACAUCAAAAGCUAAGAAGGCAUACAUCGUUUGGGAUGCACCCGAAGAUGAUACUUCAUUAACAAGCAUAUCGGAAGAUGAAGAAUCAAAUAAGCUAUGUCUAAUGGCUCAAAAUAUGAAUUCUUGCAAAGUAAGUGAGUAAGAUGAGCCUAGUGAGGUACACUCCUCCGGUUCUAUUUCAAAUUCCGAUUUAUUGCUCACAUAUGAUAUACUUUAUGAUGCUUAUGUUGAAAUGCAUGAAGAUCUUAAAAAAGGCGACUCUGGAGACAAUUCAUCAUGACUUGUGACAUUUGACGUUCGGAUGCCUCAUACAAAAGGCGGCUCUGGUCUCCUCGUGGCAACCACCUGUAAUGCAUAGCAAUAACUCCAAUGCAUGCCAGCUAUCACAAAAAAGAUUCGAAUCUCAUCAACAAACUUUUGGCAUGCUUUGCCACGUCACCCGGAAGGAAAGUGCCACAUCAACCCUCCGACCAACUAAUUCUCCUCAGAUAGGUCGGUCCCUCUGGUUGCAUGAUCGGAGGCCACAUCAUCAUCCCGACCAACCAACUACUUAUGGACAAGCAAGUUAAUAUGAUCGGGCAACGUAGCACUUUCCUUCAUAGGGUUAUUAUGCUUCAAGUCAGCCAUACCCCGUGAUACCCAAGAUCGCCCGAAGGUAAAUAGAGUCUGUCAGCACGAUCGAUCGUCGUGCAUGCUAACAGACUGGGGGAAAUUGUUUCAUCCCGAUCAAAUCAGGCAUCUCGUCCGACCAGGAUGUGACCCACCUGACCAAACAAAGCACAAAUAGACAUGGAAUAGACUCUUACUUCAUCCUCAUAAGCCUCAUAAAUGAUGUUGCACUUCAUUAAAUGCAUCCCAUAAUUGGGUUCUGCCACGCCCCGUGAAAAAGUCAAUAAGUCCCCUUGGGUCAGACAAGUCCAACUUGGAGGCUUGUAUCAUCCCACGUCAAUUGUCACUGCUCCUGAUACCUCAUUCAAUGCAUCCCCAAUCGAGUUCUGCCACACCGCCUGCAACUCCAACAUGUCCCUUCUGAUAGACGCGGUCAAGAUGAACAUGUUAUGUAGUGGGGAUAGACGCGCUACACGCCUACAAUGCACACUGUCAAGUCACGAUCAACCACUGGAUAGCUGACACAUCGCCAUAGUAUUUACUAUAAAUAAGGGGUGUUCCCUUACAAGAAUUCAUUAUUCUCAUACAUCAUAAAUAUCUCUCUCAUACAUCAUUAAUAUCUUACUCAUACUCAUACGCAUUUUAACUCUCUCAUUCAUUGCUAGCAUUUACUCUCAUCUACUCUCAUUUAUUCUCCAUCAAACUUCUUUAAACUCAUACUGACUUGAACAUCAGAGAACUUUUUCAAGUACUUCCACUGGCAAGUCUAAGCCUAAUUCAGCCAAUCUCUAGAAGCAAAUCACUCAACCAGAUCCCCCAUUCCCACCAUAUUCAAUCAACACUAAAGAACAAAUUAUGUAACCACCAUUAUUUAACAGAGAACACGAUAAAAUUUAAAUAUGUUUUAGAAUAAACCAUAUAUUGGCGAUGGAGCUCAACGUACAGAAAACACUGUUGGAACCUACAUACGGUCAAUAUUUAUACAUAAAUGAUGCACAUGAUUGUAUUUAAUUUUACUUACAAUAAAACGUGAAGUGAACCUUCUUAAAAACAUAUGUACGUAAUCUAGCUUAUAUAAGUAACACUCUUUUAAUUGCUUAGUUACUAGUAGUUUUGGUUAAUAAUAUAGUUCUCAAAUACAACAUAAGUUUUUUUGUGGGUAGAAAAAAAACUGACUGAUAUAUUUAAUUUGUUUUUUCUAUAGGAUUUUCCUUUCUUUUUAAUCAUAUGGGCACGUAAUAUAAACUUCAUAUAACAUCAUUGCCCCUCUAUCACUGACUAAUAACAAAUUGGUACAAACUCCAUUCCUGUUAAGUGUCCUUUUAAUAAAUUAGAUUUUCUUAAUUGGUGGUAGUUUCUUUUGGUUCCUACUAUUUGGUCUAUUUGGCAUGUGAAAAAUAAGAUUGUAUUUGAGAAUUUGGAAUAUCAUCUUAACGAGAUGAUGAAAUUUAUUUUAUUAUAUUUUUUAAUAUCUUAAAUGCUCAUUGUAAUGAAUUCAACUUCUCAUAUAUGGAAUAGGUGAUGAAAACCCAGCCAAUUGUCUUUUUACUUGUCAACUUUUCAAAUUUAUGGAUAGGAGAGGAGUUACCUUUCCUUAUUAAUAAAUUUAAUUGCUGAUAAAAAAAGAUUUAUUUCUAUUUUAUUUUAGAAAUUCAAGAAAACAUUAAUCAUUGUUUUUACAACACAUCCUAAUUUUUUAUAAGCACAACACAUCCUAAUUUUUUUAUGACCACAACACAUCCUAAUUUUUUUAUAACCACAACACAUUCUAAUUAACCAGAGAAAUGGUAAGUGAAACUUAAUUACUGUAAUUAUUAGACAUAACUAAAGGACAUAAUAAUAAAAUAUUGCAUAAAUAUAUUAUAAUUAGCCAUUUAAUUAUAUUUUUUUUAGUUAGCUAUUUAUAUAUAACAUUAAAAAACAAUUAAAUAGUAGUAAAUUUUAGUCUUCCUGACUGAAACUAAAUCACCAACCCAAGAUUCGGCUCCUAUUAAUCCUUCAAUUUUAAUAGGAGCUAGUCAACAUUAAUCCUAAAUAUCCGGAUAUUAGUUAUUGACCCCCCUGAACUCGAUUACUUAUGGAUCGAUAAAAUCAAUAAAAAAGCAAAAAGGAAUUUAAAAGGGGUUAGUUAAUAUUUGCUAAGCAGUUUACCAAAAGAGUGUAAUAUAUAUAUAUAUAUAUAUAUAUAUAUAUAUAUAUAUUAAUAUGCAUAAUCAUUAUAUAUUAUUUAUUUAUAUUACUUUUAUUUAAUGAUUAAUGAUAAAAUGAAUGGUAUAUGAUGUAGUCAAAAUAUAAAAUACUCUCACAUAUUUGCUAGAGCUCAUAUCACAUGGGGCUACCACCUAAUCUGUUGGAUAUUAUAUCACUAGGGUCGGUAAUUACUUUACUAAUUAACUUUAGGUUACCAGACACCAAAUAUUUUUAUUGAAUGUAUAAUAAUAAAUAACGUGAGCAAUCAAAUUCAAUACAAAAUACCUCAUAUUUGACUAACAUGUACAACAAUUUCAAAAUCAUACCAUCAUCCUCUGUAACCAAUUUUUUUUUUUUUCAACCUCUUUCUAUGUGUAUCAAUUUGUAUAAUGGGUUAGGAGAAACAACCACGAACCACAAAAGAUAUUACUUUCUUACCUAUAAGGCGAGGUAUACUCUUCAUAAUACAAGAAAAAAAUUGUAUAAUGGGAAAAUUAAAAAAUUAAAGGUGGAACCAGACUGAGUAUAGUACCUCAUCUAUAACCAAUCAUAGACUAUUGUUGAAAAGUUGAAAAAUGAUGUAGUAGUAAUUGUAAUGGCAAACCCAUAUUUUAAACCAUAAUCACUGCCUCUCUAAAUCUUGGUCAAUAUCACCAUGACUAGAAGGUUGAAUUCUCUUCAUUGAUCUCUCCCUACUAAGAAUCCUUCGAAAUGAGCUCAAUCUUGAAUUUGAACCAUUGAUUUUAGGUGACCCACCAAUAGUAGUACCAUCUGAUGCACCUUCAAUGGGUUCAACCAAGAGUGGAGCCACUGGUGCACCAUGAAGAAUCAAGCCAUUAGGACCCUCACGUGGCUGUGGCACGAGCCAUGGCUCAGCCUCGGUUCUACAAAUUGGACAAGUGGAGUGUGAAGCCAACCAUGUAUCAAUGCAACCAACAUGGAAAUUGUGCUUACAAUUUGGUAACAAUCUCACCAUUUCUUCAUCCUCCAGAGCACUCAAGCACACGGCACAUUCAUCAUCAUCGUGAUCUUCUCUUUGUUGUUGAUGAGGACCCUUUCUCUUAAAGAUGAACAUGGGAAGAGCCUCGAUGAGUAAAGGGUCGAGUCCUUUGUUGCAUGGUUCAAUGGCUUGGGUGUGAGCAUGAGCCAUGUUGAGUCUAAGGUGGUGAAUGGCAUCUCUACUACGCGCUUGGCGUCGUAGAAAACCCCUAGUGUAGAGGUAAAGAGCAAAGACAAAAAUAAAGACAAUUGAUAAGGUAGCAAUGGCUAUGAUGAGCAAUAUAUUUUUAUUGAAGUGACUAUGGCCCAUGUCAUUAUUGAAACUUGGGAUUGAUUCAUGAUCAUGAUAUUCAUCGAAGUAACUCAUGGCUAGAGAAAAAGUGUGUGUUUGUGUGAUGGAGAAAGAGAGGGUGUUUAAUUAGUUAUGUUGUUUGAUGAGUCGUGUGUUUGAACUUUGAUGAAGUUGUGGUUUGGUUUUUCAAGGUAAUUAUGGGUUAGUGGCUUUUGUGAGUUGGUGGCUAUGUGAAACGCGUUUGUAGUCUUUUUCUUUUCUUUUGUAUUCUUCAACUAUCGUGGCUAUAAAAGUCAUGUGUCUUAACUAACAUGAAAGUACCAAUUUUUCUAGAGUUGAAUGUUGAACGUUCACCCUUGAUCACUUUCUAAUUUUCUCUUUACGAAUUCAGACUAUAACUAAAAAUAAACAUUAGUAUUCAGCCAUGACCCAUAAAGUAAGGUUUCUUUGUAGACGAAAUAGUUUACAAUAGAUUAUAAGUAAUAAAUUAGAUAUGUUUUGCGACAGAUAAUCUCUAUUCAUUAAUUUACUACACGAAUUACAUUGUUGUUUGGUUAUAGAAAUAGAAUAUUUUAAUGAUAAAUUAUUAACCAACAAUAUUAAAAACCCAUUUUACAUUAUAAUUGUUGUGGCGUAAAAAUAUAAGACAUGUCUAGGUUUUAUAGUCAAGUGUUGAUAAAUCAAACUAAGGAUAGGUGAAGUUCCUACUGUUAAUAUAUGACUAUGGUGCAGGUCAACUUCAACAGCCUUGCCAACACCUUGGAAGUGGGGUGUGUGAAGUGUCAAGAAAGGAUGAUCGUACCUUGAUAUAUUACCUAGUAUAUAUGGUGUUUGUGACAUGAUGAGGGAAUUUAUAAGCUUCCACACUAUAUUAACAUUGUAAUAUUUGCUUAUAAAAAAUAUUGACUUAGUGGACAAGCAAGAUCUAGUCUUUAUGAUUGAUAAUCAUAUCUGGAAGUUCAAUUUUGCUAGAGGAAAGAAUGACAACAGUUAAACAUGGUCAAAUUAGUAUCUGUUAUACCAGUAAACCUUCAUUCACGCAAAAGGUCAAGUCAUAUCACUUGAGCAAUACAUGUUCAAAUUGACCUCACGAUAAAGAUAACUCAAAUCUAUAACAUUGUAGUUUAAUAUGCCAAGAAAGGAAAAGGCUAUGCCGUACACAAUGAUGACAAAUCCUCUUAGAGUACAAAUCACUCCAUUAUAAAUAGGUAAAACCACCCAUAAAGAAAACAUUUGUACGCCCACUCUACUGUUUCUAAAGCAUAAACUUAUAUAAAUAUUGACUUAAUGUUAAAAUCUAUUUUCAAGUAUUACUCUAAGACGGUCCAAUGCCAAAACCAUUGAAAUUCAAUAAGGAGAUCAAAAUUUCGACAAGCCACUUCCACACAUAAGAAGAAGUAUAAAUCCCAUAAUAUUUAAACGCAGAAAUGAGAGCAAUGCAUGGUGGGAAAGUGGGAACUCGUCAUCCAUUGACUUCCAAGCUUGGGUUGAUACUCAACAAUCAAACGGUGGUUUUCCACGUUACUACGAGUAGACAAAAUUAACAUGACUUUUUGUUUAGAUGUUGGAAUUAUAAAUCAAUCAAAGUCCACCAAACAUUGUUUGUCAGUUUUCUCCAAUACAAUGGAAUGACAUCGUCUAUGGUUUAACUCAUAAUAGUAGUUGUUUUCCAGAAUUUAUCAACUAUCAAGAGUAUAAAUUUAAUAAAGGAAAAAAAUAUGACAGGUGAUUUGAGCCACAAAUGUGACCUUAUAUUUUUCGAAAAAUGAAGAAGAUUCCAAACGUAAUUUAAAUGUAGAAAGUUUAACAAUUAACCUACCUUAAGAUAAGAAUGAGAGUGAGAGAGCGAAAUAGGUUAUCCUUUGUUCAGGUAUAUUGUUUUGUCCUUCAUUUAUUUGCAUUCUAAGUUCAUUAAUUCCUCCCUACUUAUUUUUUAUUAUUAUAAUUUCGGAUAAAUUUAUUUUUUGUCCCGUACGGUAAAAAAACAUUCCAUGAAGCCCAAGUUUAUUUUGAUUUUAUUCUUGCAAUAUUGAGCUAAUCCAAAACCAAAACGAAUUAUACACCAAAUCAAGAACUAAAUUUAAAAUAUUUACAUAUUUUAAUGACCAAAGGCUAAACACCCUGACAUUAACAUAUUAUAAGAAUUAAAUUUAAAACAAAAACAUGUGCAAAACAUUAUGUUAACCAACAAAAAUAGUGCGACUCAGUGCAAAAACACUUAGUGGGAUAUGAGGAGAAUAUAAUAUACAAUCUUAUCCUUAAUUACAAGUAAAGAUGAUGUUUUUGUGAUCAUUUAGGAUUUAUAGGAAUGGAAGAAAGUAUUUAGGAAUGUGGUUUCAAUGACGAGAUGGGGUUUUCGAUGUAAUCAAACUAAGGCCUAUGAUUUGGUUUCCCCUUCUCAUGGGUCAUACGUGUACUGUUUUUGGAUUGGUGCAUGAACCCUUAAGUUUUAUUUCUUCAAGUUGCUAGCUUGGUUUGUAUAUGGUAAGGAUCUGUUCUAAUACAAUUUGCUUAGAAAAAAGUCAGUUGCAGGACACAAAAGAAGAUCCCACCUCCUAUUUUGGCCAUCUACAAAUAUUUGUGGGUAAUAACUUCUCUAAUCAUUUCCAUGCUUCAUCCAUCCAACUUGAAGAUGACAGAUACAGAUCAGCUAUCCCAAACUGUAUCUCCAUUUUUUGUCUCAACGAAUUAAAAAGUGACAUUUAGAUAAAAUAAAAAUUUAUAAAAAUUAAAACUAACAGUUUUAUAUUAUUUAGUGUAAUAUUAUUAGUUCGGGACAAAAUGAUAUUUUUUGAGACAGAGGAUCUCAGUUUGAAUAUGGUCAUGUAUGGGCUAAAAUCCUUUAAGGCCUAACCCACUGGUCUCAUGCAAAUGAAAGUAAUCGGAUGAGAAAUAUAUAGUCGAAUUUAGUCUGAUAACAUUAUAUUACAUGUUAUGGGGUUUAUCGACGCAUUGGGUUAUUGGACUAUGCUUCUUAUAAAGCCCAUUCACCUUUAUAGCUUUCUUUUUUAAUAAGUAGUUAUGUUAGUUAGAUAUUCCCUUUUAGUUUCCUCUUCUAUAUAAGGUAGCUCUUAUUGACUAAUCAGAUUUAAUUCAUUCAAAUGUCACAUCAAUUAAUAAAGAAUAUAUUCAUCUUCUUCUUCUUUAUGCCUUUGAUACCCAAUAUAGUAUCAGAGCUCUCAUAUUGAGAGCUAUGCUACGCACUCAUUCCUUUUCAUCUACUACCUUUACGGUGUCCAAAAACCCACGUUACUCACCUAUCUCCACUAUUGUCUUCUCCACGUUAUUCAUUUCUUUCCCUCUGUCUUGUUCAUUUUCUUCCGUCUCCACAACGAAAACCCCAAAAUUCCUAGAAAACCCUAAAAGCCAUUUUGGUUUGCUUAAAUCCAUCAACAUGCUCAUGAAAAUGACAACAAUCGUCAAUUUAAAGAUCCAUCCCUAAAUCCAUGUAACCCAUACUACCUUCAUCCUGGAGAAAACCCUAGAUUUGUGCUAGUUUCUCCACCAUUAGAUGGUACGAAUUAUAAAUCUUGGAGUAGAUUGAUGAGAAGAGCUCUUGGAUCCAAGAACAAGUAUAAGUUCAUUAAUGGGAACAUCAAAAUGCCCAGCGUGACCGAUCCAAUCUUUGAAGCAUGGGAAAGAUGCAACAAUAUGGUGGUUUCUUGGAUAACUAGAUCCAUAUCCCCUCAAAUUGCCCAAAGUGCAAUUUACAUAAAUGGAGCAUAAGAAUUAUGGCAAGAUCUCAAAGAGAUAUUUUCCAAAGGAGAUUACUUCAGGACUUCCGACCUAUUGCAAGAAAUCCACUCAAUUCGACAAGCUGGCCGAAGCGUCUCAACAUUCUUUACAUAUUUGAAGACCAUUUGGGAAGAGUUGGAUACUUUGAGACCGCUAAUCCAUUGCAUAUGUGAUCUGAAGUGUAGUUGUGAAUCAAUGAAGAGCAAUGUCUUUUAUCGGGAAUCAGAGUAUGUCAUUUGUUUCCUUAAAGGUCUCAAUGACCAAUAUGGGACAAUUAAGGCACAAAUACUACUCAUGGAGCCACUACCAUCAAUGAACAAAUGCAUCUAUCUAGUCAUACAUCAAGAGAGACAAAUUGAUGUCACAAUUACUGAAAACCAAAGCAAUGUUAUCAACAACAUCACUGCAAGACCAAACUGGAAAUAUAAUCCAAGGAAAGGAACUAGUUUCAACCCAAGGUCAUCACAGGACUACAAUAGAUACACUGGAAAAGGUGGUGGAUCUCGUGGUAACUCAUGUUUUUCGAAUAAGAGCUUGGCUACAAGUAGUGGUAGAUCUAAAACAAAUCUAGUGGGAAAUAAAAUCUACACUUUCUGUGGCAAAGAAAACCACACAGUUGAAACCUGCUACUUUAAGCAUGGUUUUCCUUCUACCUUCAAGCCUAGACAAAGACAAAUAGAAUAUGCAAUCAACUCCUCUACAAGUCAAGAUAAUCCAACAAAAAUCACUUCUAUCAGCAAUGAAUUCUAUCCAGAAAAGGACAAUGAUCAAAAAGUUGUCCUCACCUUCAAUUUCACUCAUCAAGUUAACCAGACUUCAAGUAAAGAGGAUAUUCAUCCUCACUCAGGUAUGUUCCUCUCAAAGUUGGUGGAUUCUUGAUACAGGAGCCACAUAUCAUGUCACUAAUGAUCUAUCCAAUUAUUCCUCAUAUUAUAGCAUAAAGCCUAUGGUCAUAAGGCUACCUAAUGGUGCUUCUGUCCUAGCCAAACAUUAUGGCACUAUGGCCCUUUCCACCCAUUUGCACCUCACUAAUGUGUUGCAUAUCCCUGGUUUCACUUUCAACUCAAUUUCCAUUCAUAAACUCACCACUCAUUCCAAUUGCACAAUUAUAUUUAAUCAACAUUGCUGUUUCAUUCAGGAUACAUUACCUUGAGGAUAAUUGGACUUGCUGAGGUUCACAACCAUUUAUACAUUUUUCGCACUUUAACAAGCUCUACAAAACACAAUUUGGCUACUAACACAUAUGCUCAUGCUCUUAAAUUUGAUUUGUGACAUUUUUGCUUAGGUCACCCACCUAAAUUUGUUUUUGACAUUGUUUAUAAACAAUAUCCAUAUGUGAAAUUUUGUGUUAAUAAAGUUUGUGACACUUGCCAUGUUGCUAAACAAGCAAAAAUAUUUUUUCCUACCAGCACAUCUAUCACCACUCCGCCUUUUGACCUUGUGCACAUGGAUAUUUAGGGACCUCUACAAAUCCCUUCUAUCUACGGUCACAAGUACUUCCUAACCAUCAUUGAUGAUUUCACACGCCACACUUGGUUAUUCUUAAUGUUUUCUAAGGCUGGCACAAGGGAUAUCAUUAAGAAUUUCAUACAACUUGUUUAUGUUCAAUAUAGUAAGUAUGUUAAGACCAUUAGAUCAGACAAUGGAAAGGAGUUUAUAAUGCCUGAUUUCUAUGCCAAAUCCGGGAUAGUCCAUCAGACUUCUUGUGUUGAAACUCCUGAGCAAAAUUCCAUUGUUGAGAGAAAGCAUAAGCAUAUCCUCAAUGUGACUAGGUCACUCAUUUUUCAAUCUAACUUACCUCCAUGUUUUUGGACAUAUGUUGUCAAACAUGUUGUCUUUUUUAUCAAUAGACUUCCCACCCUUGUUUUACAAAAUAAAUCUCCUACUAAUUCCUCCUAGGAUAGAUACCUACCCUAACUGACCUCAAGGUCUUUGGCUGCUUAUGUUAUGGCACCACCAUUGUACAAGGCAAGACCAAGCUUGAUCCUAGAGCUAAGAAAUGCAUCUUUCUUGGCUACAAACCUGGAACAAAAGGGUACAUCCUCCUAGACUUACAAACUAGACAAUUUUCUAUCACAAGAAAUGUGUUAUUCCAUGAGCACAUAUCCCCUUACACUCCUCAUAUCCCUCCAACUACCCAAUAUGAUACUGCUACCACUCCUAAUAACAUUCCCCUGGAACUCCCAUCAUAUAACCAACCACCUACCACUCCUGCCCAUGAUUAACAGGGCUCAUUCCCACCUUAUUCUCCCAUUGCAUCCAAUCAACCCUCUACCAUUAACCCUGUUGGACGAUCCCAAAUACCUCAUAUACCACCAACCUAUCUCAGAGAUUUCCAUUUUAAUCUUCUCACCUCCUCAUCCCACCUUGACCCACCUAACAUUAAUCACUCAUUAUCUACUGUUCCAUCUUAUCAUGCCUUAUCACCAUCAUACAAACUAUAUACUCUUUCCAUUAGUGCCAAUAUUGAACCACAAACUUAUCAUCAAGCUAUUUCAUCCCCAAAAUGGAUCCAUGAUAUGCAAAAUGAAUUACAAGCCUUAGAUGACAAUAUCACUUGGACCAUAGUUCCCCUACCCCCUGGAAAAAAAAGCAAUAGGAUCUAAAUGGGUUUAUAAACUGAAAUUUAAGGCUGAAGGCACCACUAAUAGAUAUAAAGCUAGAGUAGUUUCCAAGGGCUUUAACCAAACAGAGGGGCUUGAUUUCUUCGAUACUUUUGUCCAUAUGGUGAAACUAACCACUAUUUGAAUGCUCCUUACCAUUGCUUCUUCCCAAAAUUGGAUCUUAGAACAACUAGAUGUCAAUAAUGCUUUUUUACAUGGUGAUUUACAUGAGGAGGUCUAUAUGACAUUACCUAAACGGGUUACUUCUUCCAUUCCCAACUCUGUAUGCAAACUCAAUAAAUCCCUAUAUGAUUUAAAUGUAUUGGGUUAUGCUUCUUAUAAAGCUCAUUCACCUUUAUAGCUUUCUUUUUUAAUAAGUAGUUAUGUUAGUUAGGUAGUUAUGUUAGUUAGAUAUUCCCUUUUAGUUUCCUCUUCUAUAUAAGGUAGGUCUUCUUGGUUAAUCAAAUUUAAUUCAUUCAAAUGUCACAUCAAUCAAUAAAGAAUAUAUUAAUCUUCUUCUUCUUUAUGCCUUUGAUACCCAAUACAUUAAUAAUCUUCUACAGUAACUAAGCCCAAUUAAUCAAAUAUUUUAACAUCAUUGAAAUAAUAUAUUGUUCGAGUUAAGAACUUCUAGCUCUCCCGGUGGAAAAUUUCUCCUUUCACAAGACUGAAAUUCGGGUCUUGCUUAAUAAGAAAGAAACAUAUGUGCAAUAUUGUUUUGUCUACUCCUAAAUUACAUGGGAAGAUGGUUAUAGUUAUUAGGAGAUAUUGAUUUAUACAUAUCUAAAUCCUUACAAUAUUUGUAGUCUUGUUGAACUAACCCUUCUGGUCAGGGCUUAUGCAACUUACCAGUGGAGAGAUCAAAUGGAGUAGAUUAUUCGCCGGAUGAGAUCUUCUCCAAUACUAAAAUGUGAGGUCGAGAUUGAUUUCACGAUUUAUAUAUAUUUUUACUUCAAAAUAAUUUAAAAUAUGUAUCGUUAAUAUUUUUAAGCCACGUUGCAUAAUCUUCUCUCUAUUGGACUCUCCAGUAGGGGAGAGGAUGCAAAUUCAUUAGUCUCUGUUUAAAAAAAUUGUUAGUAUGAGUAUAAAAGUUCAGUCGAGUUUGGUUUUUAGUACAAUAAUUUAAUGAUCGAACUAAACACAAAACUAUGGUUCAGUUCACCUCAAUUAACUGCAAAUUUUAUAGUGGAAUCGAACCGAACCUCUCACGAAUAGUUUGGUCUUGUUCCCUUCCAUACCACAAUUUUUUUUUAAAUCUGAAUUAAUUUCAAGUUGAAAAUUUAUUACAAGAGACAUUGUUUGUCCACAAAUGAAAAGACACUACUAUUAUUAUCAAAAAAAUAUAAAUCAUAAAACAUGAGUAAAAUAAUUGAAACUCAAUUGAUUGUAAGGAACAUAUAUAACAAUUAAGUAAUAUAAGAAUACAAAAACAAAUGACCAUAUAUAAUAGUACCAUCCACAAUUAUAACAUAUUCACCAUUAGUAAAACAUGCCAAAUAGUUUAGAAAUAUAUAUAAUAUUAUAAUUCAUAAUUAGUAACAUAUAUAGUAAUAAUGUAUAAUACCAUGUGAUAUAUGUUAGUUUCAAACCAAGUACAACAAAUGUUAGAAGAUAUGUUCUAAAUUAUUAAGACACUCGGAAAGUAGCACAUACGUAUAUAACAAUUUAGUAAGACGUAAUAUAUGUACACUAACGUAAUAUAUGUACAAUAACAUAAUAACAAUUUAGUAACAUAUAUAACUAUACAAUUCCCAUAAAAUUGAUAAUUUAAGACAUACAAUUGGUUGAAGGGUGAAUGACUUAGGGAGUAGAGUGAUAAGGAGGUUGAAAGUUCAAUUCUUACUUACUGUAAAAUACUGACAUUUGUCUAUAAAAAAGGGAGACAUCGUAGAAAAUUAAAAAAAAUGAAGAUAAUAUCUAUCACUAAUCUAGGAUAAGAGAAAAUCUAAAGAAAUAUUUGAAUAUCUAGAGGAUAUUUCAUAUUAUCAUAUGAUUUAUAUAUUAUUAUUUACAUUUUUUUACUAUUUGGUUCAAUGAUGUAAAAACUGUACCGUACCGGACGGUUCAACCUGAAAACUGGACCCCUAACCAGUACGGUACAGAUGUUGAACCAGCUAAGUGUCAAACCAGUCAAAACCAGUCAAAAACCGGUCAAAACUGGUGAAUCAGCCGGUAUUUGACUAAACCGGCCGAUUUAUACACAAUUUUUUUAAAUAAAAAAGACUCAAAAACCCAUUACAAGGUGACCUAUCUUUCCAACUCUUCUUCAACACUUCAAAGCACAUGCUUACAAUACAUACCUAGAUUACAACUUUUAGUUCCUAACAUUCGUGUGUAAUCUCAGUGACAUUUGUGUAAUCUUGGAGUACUGUCUGAAGAUAAAAUUUGGUGCAAAAAUAUAAUCUCAAUAUGAGACAACUUUGACUCAUUGGUAUUAAAUGUUAAAACUCCAAAUUUAUUUCUUUUGUAGAGUGAGUUGUGAACUUGUGUCAUUUAUUUAUAUUUUGGAGUUGUUAAGUGAUACUUUUAGAUUGAUAUAUGUUUUGUAAUUAGACUUUGAAUUUGUGAAAGACUUAAAGUUGUUUCUUUAUGUGAAUUUUGAGUAGAUUAUGAAUAUGAAUUAUAUAUUUGAGUAUCUACCUAUUUGAAAUUUUUUUGUUAUAGGUUUAUAUAUAUAUAUAAAAGCAAAUAUCUCCGAUUAACCGGUAUGCAGUUUAAUUACUAAACCACGAGUUGAUCCACUGUACCAUUAUAUCGGUACCCUGACAGGUUUGAUUUGGUUAUUUGUUUAAUUAUUAAUACAAUAUUAACAUAAAUAUGAAUUAAUAUUAGGUCUUUUAUUAUGAAAUAAAAAUAUAGUUUCUUUAUAUCAACAUACUUAUUAUUAAAAAACAUGGUUAUAAAUACGGUAAUGUAUCAGCAAGUUUAAUUGGUAAACCCGUGAAUUGAUCUCAUAUUGAUAUAAUAUAACAAUUAUACCAAACACAAAAUUAAAGAGGUAAAAACUUAUCAAAAUAUAUUAUACAGUAUCAGUCAACACCAGUUUCGACAUGAAGAUGACAUAUUAAAUAUUCAUACUUUGAACAUAAAAGUUAUUCGAUACAAAGUCAACUAUUGAUUUCAAUAAUUAAGUUAUAAGUUGCAAAUCAUAAUAUUUAUAUUGAUAAAUUUAUUAUAAAAUAUAUAUUUAACUGUCAUCAUGUAAUUUAAUUUGUUAUCAUUGUACUUUUAAAAUUAAAAGAGUUUUCCAAACCAUGAUUUAUUAAAAUCAUGUCAUAUUGGCUAAUUCAAGUGGAAACCAAUAAACAAUUACUCGUAAGACAAUUAUCAGACAUAUUAUCAAGUCAUUGAAAAUCAACCAAAUCGUAUGGUAUUAUAUUGUACUGAUCAAAAUCUAUUUGUGAAUGAAAAAUUAAUAUUUUUUAAAGAUAUGGAUUCAAACCUUAAAUUCAAUAAUUGUUUGUAACAUAGGUAAAUACUGAAUUAUUUAACUAAUUGAGUAAAAUGUUAUAAAUAAUAAUAUCUAUAUUUAUUAUAAUAUAUAUAACUUAACUGAUAUACCUUUAAUUAAUAAAUAACUUAUCAAUAUAUUAGUACCUUGACAAAUACGAUAAUGAGUAAUAAAAUUGUUCAUGCUUCUCAAACUGCAAAUACAGGUACCAACAGGCGGCGUUGGUUCAAGUGGUACAUGCUUGAUUCCCCUUAAGCAAGAACCCGGGUUCGAGUCUUGUGGAUGGAAAAAAUGUCCGUUGGGAGAGUUAGCCCCACUUACCUGUGAAUGUACCCGGCUCAGACAAGAUUGCCUCCAGUACGAAGAUACAUGUGGGAAAUCAAAAAACAAAAAAAACUGCAAAUACAGGUCAAUAUUAAAAAUCUUAAACUCACGCCAACACGAGCAUUAUGCAAUGGUCUGUCAUAACUGAUAAGAAACAUGAUUGCUUUUCACACUUCAGGUCACAUGUAUAACUUGGAAACUUAUGAAUUUCAAAAUAAAAUAUUAUAAAUGGUCGGGAGUGGAUUCACUUACUCCCAUAGUAAGUUUUUUUUAAUUUACUUCUUAUCUUAGCUAUUAAUUUUAGGAAAAUUUAAUAGUUUGAAUUAGUGAGUAGAUUUAAAUUAUAUUCUUAAAAUUGAUGGUUAAGAUAAAGAGCAAGUAAAGAAAACUUAUAGAUACUCUAAAUAGUUUGAUGAUUCAGAAAAGUACCCAAAAAAAAAGCAGGCAGUUAAAACAGUCAAGCUAUUCAAUAUUGGACAGUUUCAUAGCAAAAUCUGAGUUGUUGUUACUAUCCAAUCAGUGUAUCUUUGGUAAAAACCAUAUAAUGAAAAUAAUUAUUUAUUUUAAAAAUACUUUUAAUAAUUUUAAAUUAUUAUUUGAAUAUAGAAUAGGUUAAUAUGAUUACACAUUUACUCUUUUACCCAAUCAUUACUGUAAAAUUAAAUUCAAUAAAAAAUAAAAUACUAAUUAACAUCCACCGAGUCACUCACAGGAUAAAGAAAUACUAUUUUUAUACUAGCUUUAAUGAUAAAAAUAUUAUUAUAAGUGUAAAUAAAAAUAUAUAAUUAUUGUUUCAUUUUGCACAACACUUCUUGUUCCUCUAAAAAAUUUCCAUUCCAAAAGAAUAUCAACAAUAAAUUUGGAAAAGACUCAUCUCUAGUACCAAAGAGAUAUAUUAUGAUUUUUGUGUGCUGGAUAAUAAUAUCAUAUUACAUUUAAGGGAUAAUAAAAUCAUAUUAUCAUCACUUUUCUUUUCCUUUUUGUGUACUCUUCUAUUCAGUACUAGAUAUGACUCACGCAAUAAACUUAUAUAUAUAGAUUUUUCAAUUUAGAGUAUCCAUACCUUGUUUGAAUGGAUUCUAUUCUAGCUAGUUUCCAUAAGAACAAAGAGAACAUGCCUCCAAUUCUUCUCACAAAUGAGAUUGACCCAGUUCCUGCAAAUGGUAGUGAUAGCCAAUGUUUCAAGAAGGGUGCUACUGAAAUAGGGUUUAUGAGGGAGCCUCUUUCUGAUAUUACCAACCUCUUUGAUCAACUUUCCAAUCCUCAAAUUGUUGUUACUCCACCAUCUUUUGCAUCUGUUACAGUUCAGCCAAAUUUUCGGAAUAAAACAGCAUCAAAUGUUGUCUGUGAUUCAACGCAUCGUGUUUGUUCCAAAAUUCUGAGAAUGGGUUUCAGAUAGUUUGAACCAUUUAUGCUUUCUUUAUAUUUUAUUGUUCUAUCAACUAUGAUCCCUUGCAAUAGAAUUCGUUGGUUUGUGAAAACGUUUGAUACUUUCAUUCCUUGUUAGUAUUACUGAUAUAAUGUAAUAUUUAUAUAUUAUUGAUAUAAAGAUUUAUACAUACUCAAUACAUCAUUUAUUAUUUUUGUAUUACUUAUAUUUAAGAAUCAAUGAGUGUGGAUAAUACAGUAAUAAUAUAAAUAUAUAUCAUUUUCUCUUAAUGAUAAGUAUAAUAGUAACUACUUUUACUCUAUUUUUAUUAGGAUUUGGUUUCUCAAAAUCAUAUGAACAAGAUGAUGAUAAUGUAAUGACUAAUGACUAACAAAAAACACUGAGCCGCUAAAUAAUGAUUUAUAUGAGUGGAGAUGUUCUCUAUUUUCUUCUCUUCAUUUCUUUUUUCCCCUUCUUUUGUCAAUCAAAUUUUUCUGAUGAAAACUAAAUUUAGCAUUUUGAUUUGACAGGAAAUGGUAUAUAUAUAUAUAUAUAUAUAUAUCACUACAAAUUGAAAAGGUUAUUGUAAACAAUGUUGUUAAACCCGAACCGGACGUCAAACCGGAAGAGGUUUCGUAUCAGAUUUAACCGGUUUAAACGGUUAAACCGUCCGGUCGGACCAACUAAUUUCAUAUAUAAUUAAUAAUAUUUUAUCAAUAAAUAUAUAAUUAUAUAUAAAUAUAAAAUUUAUAUAACUAAUAAUUAUGUAUAAUUAUAUUGUAACACAUUUAUCAAUAUUUUUGAACCGGAGUAACACAAAAAAUUAGAUUAGUAUUCCGUUUUUUUAAUUUUAAGUAAUCUUUCUCGUUUAUUUUCUAGAUUAUUCGGUUUAACAUGGUCGGACCAGAAUUUUUCCGGUUCAAAGUGAUCUACCUCUCAUUCUAUUAAGACGGUAAACUAGAGUCGUUUUUAAGUCCGGUCAACGGUCAAACCAGUCAAACCACCUAGUACGGUCCGGUUCUUACAAUACUAAUUCUAAAGAUUGUGGUAAUGCCUUAGAAAAACCUCUAGUUAAAUAUCUACGUAUAAUUUUUAUAAAUAUGAAAUUUUGUAGAUUAAUAUGAACUAAAUCCAUCUAGUUGGUCAUAUCAGAAGAUCUAGUUGAAAGUUAUCACUUUUUAAUCAGGAUCCCGUAAGCAAAAAAUAAUAAUAAAAGAAAACUACCUCAUUUUCUAUUUAGGCUUUUGUGUUUAUAUUUUUAUUCUUAGCAUAAUGGUUAGGAAAUAAAAAAUAAUAUUUUAUAGAAAGGUGAUGUGUGUAUGUAUAUUAAGAAUAAAAAAUGAUACCGAACACAUUGUGUUCAUUAUUUUGUAGAUUUUUUUAACUGAUAUCAUAUAAACAUUUAUUAACAAGACUCUUCAUUAUAAUGAGUUUAAUGGGGCAAGCAUGUGCAAUUCAUUCACCUUGUUAGAAUCUUUAAAGACAUAAUUUCUGUUAUUUUUGAGAUUUGUGUGGAAGAUGGUUGUUUAACUAUAUGUUAGUUUUUGGAAGAAUUUUUUGUUGCCUAAAUGUUGGUGUUGCAAUCAUUUUGAUGUUGGAAUAUUUGAAGACAUAAUUUAGAAAAAAACUUUACAGUUGUAAAUGAUAAUUGUUUAAGUCUAUGUUGAUUUUUGUUGAAGAUUUUGGUUGCAUCAAUAUUAGAGGUGUAUACAUUUAAAUGGUUCAAAUCUUUAAAGUGAUAAUAUGAGUUUCUUUUAUUUUCUCACAAUAUAUGAUAGCUGUGAAUAAACUUCAUCUAAGUAUUUAUGUUUCAAUUGGUUAACCUAAUUUAUAUAAGAAUCAUUCCAUCCCAUGAAUAAAUAACAUAAUUAUAAUAACAAUUAGAUAACUAGAAAGUCCUAUUAGUGCAUAUAUAUAAUAUGAUCCAAGAAAAGUUUAUUUUCAAUCUUUCUCAAAAUUAUCAUCCAAAAUAUUCUAAAAGUAUCAAUAUUUGUUUUACAUUAUAUUUUGACAAUGCCUUUUUACUUGUGAAUCUCACAAAAUAAACAUUGUCUCAUAAUUUUGAUUUAUAAAUGUAUAACUCAUAAGGAGAUUUUCAUUUUUUUUUUGUGCUACCAAGGGUAUUCCCUUACUUUUUGGGUAAGGAACUGAUCGAUUUCAGGGUUUAUGAUUGCUCCUACCAACAAGUGUCGCUCCCAGACAUUGAAUCCUUAACUUUUUGGUCAUCCUGAAAAUCUAGCGGAAUCUUACACCACUAGACCAACUCUAUUAUAUAUUUCAUAAAAUAAUUCAUAUCAACAUGAUUAUUGCUUACAUUUACUUAAUAUAUUUCUUUUACCAUUGUCAUAUAGCGUUUAUCAUUUAUAAUUUAUAAAAUUUAUUAAAUAAAUGCAUAUUUGCUUAAUAUACCAUUAAAUAUAAUCAAAUAAAACCUAUUGAUGAUAAUAUGGGAUGUUAAAUAUGAUAUUUCUAACCAAGAAACUAAAACAAAAAACUCAAUGAUUCAAACAGAGUUGUUCUCUUGGAUUCAUUUUGAGAGUUAAGAUAAUUAAGGUGAGAUAUGUAUACAUUUUUUCUUCUUUUAAGUGAGAAGUAAAUGUAAAUGCAAUGAAAGACUUUUUCUUAAUUGGUGUAAUGACCUAAUAGGUUGUAUUUCUUUAUCUUCUUAAAGGAUCUUAUUUUUUAUCCUUCUAUUGUAUUAGGUUAGCACCACUUAUCCUAAUUUUAAUGUAUUUUAUUUUGCAAAAUAUAUUAAUUAAAUUAGUUAACCACAUAUAUAGAUAGAUGAAGGCACACAAAACUUAUAUGGUUGGUUUUAUUUAUUAACAAUAGUACAAAGGUACAACUCUAGUUUGUUUAUUCUCUCGUGGCUCAUUAUGAGCUCUUACAUGAUAGUAGUUUUUAUAGCACAUUAGUACAAAGCAUUUAAAAUUGAAGAGAUGGGACCCCUUCUUCCACGCCUUCCUUCUUUCUCCCUUUGUUGUUGCUGUUGAGGCUGAGCAUUUGCAAAGUAAGAUUGUUGUUGGUUCUUAAUUAAUCUCUCAACAUCUUCAAUAGAACCAGGGAAUGUGAGUUCCUUCACUUCUCUAUCUAACUGCUUUAUCACAUUGUCUUCGGAACCUUUCAAUUUUCAAUAUUGCCAAAGUCAGUCAUAAAGCAAAGAUAUUUUUAUGUUAAGGUAUCCAUUCCAAAAGUAGACUUUGUAGCCAUGGUUUGGUUAUGUCCAAGGAUAUAGUUGGAGAUCUAGAGUUCAAUUUUCUCAACGCAUAUCUACCAUUUAAGCUAUUAUUUAGAUUGAAGUGAGAUAUAUUUAUUUAUAGUGUAUGAUGCUAAAUUAAGCUUAUUGUACCUGCAAGGAAGUUCCUUUGGUUUUCAUUAGCGUUGAUGCCAAAUCCAAGCAAACGAAGAUUUGAGGAAGCAUUGAUGGAAAGUGGAUGACCUGCCGGAAUUAUGAAAACGUCACCUUUUGACAAUUUAUCACUGUACCUUCUCACUUCUUCCUCUCCUUGCUCGUAUUCCUCUUCUUGCUCAUCUUGUUGUCGUUGUUGAUCUCUUAUACCCACUAGUUCAUAAUUUCCUUCUCCUUCGUCAACCACAACUAUAAAUAUGGCCUUUGAGUUAUAAUGUGGCAACAACAAAGCUCCCUAAAAUAAAUUAAACCAAAUUAGUAGCAUUAGUAUUAUUGUGUAAGAUGCUACGCAUGUCAAUAAGUACAAUAUAUGUAUGGUUAUUUAUGAUGUGAUAUAUAACAUACCUCGUUAAUUUCUGUGAACGUGAGAGAGAUAUUCAAAUCUUGGAACUGUGGGUUUAUAUCUGGGGUGAUCUCGUAGAAGUUGCCAAACUUGUUUGAAUAUAUGGGUUUGUUGCUUCUCAAGUUGAAUGGGCCAGAUUCAGAAGGUUUGCCUUCACCUGAUGAAGAUUGAGCAUGUUUUCUCAAUUCUUGGAUUUGUUUCUUUGACACUCUCACUAUGACUCCCUCAUCUUGGUGGCUCUGCUCUUGUCCACGCCUUUGUUUCUCAUUUUCUUGCAACUCAUCAUCUCCUAAAAGAACCCUUUCUAUCUCUUCGUAACGGGUCUGUAUAUGAAAUCAUAACAAACAAACACAUGAUCAUUACUAUAUAUACUUAAUAAGUAACUAAGAAAUUGAUGCAUAUAAGAUGUGAUACAUUGAAGGUGGCCUCUAAAGUGUUCUUGCUGAAGCCGCUGAAGUAGGAUUGUUGGUCUUUAGUUGUUGAUGGAUAGAAAUCCUAUACAUAUAUAGAGAUAGAGAGAAAUGAGAAAGAUAUUAAAAACUACAUGGUGUUAGAUAUGAAAUGGGUGUGAAAGUAAGUGAGUUGAUAUAGUAAUAAACAAUGAUAUGGUAUGAUAGGAGAAAGAACAUUACAUAAAGCUUUCCAGGGUUGUUGAUGGGUAUUGCGAGCUUAGCUACUCUAAGAUUCUGGUUGUCAUCAGGGUUAAGGAUAUAAGAAGUUGUGCCAGCUGGGAGUCUGAGAGCAUCACCUUGCUCAAGGUUGUAUACUUGUCUUUUAUCAGGGUUCACUAUCGUGAUUGUGGCUCUACCUGCAAUCACAAAUAACUAAUGCAAUAAAUCAUUCAUUCACAUUAAUUAAAUGAUGGAAAUGAAUACUAGUACUAGUAAGUAAGCUUUUAAAUUUGGAUCCACGGGUGCUAUAGAUGCCAACAUGCCAACAUGUUAAGGUUUCAGUAGCCUUCAAAACAACGACCUAUAUUUAAAAAUUUAUAAUAAUUACCAUUGAGUACAACGAGGAUGAAGUCAGCAUCAGAGUGUUUAGGGAGAAUGAGAGUGUUUGGUUUUGAUUGGAACUCAAUAAUACGGUAAUUUUGUAGAUUCUCAAGUCUAUUGGUUCUCUGGUUAAACCUCUCGAGCACACGGAUUUGACCAUUUCUAUUUCUGUAAUAAGUCUGGAAUCUAUUAGAGCUGAAGUGAUAAGGAUUCCUCUGUCGGCGUGAGUCUGAGCGAGAGUCUUGCUCUUGCUCUCUCUCUUCUCUAUGCACCCUCCUCUCACGGUGUUGUCUCCUCUCAUCACCACUCCCCCUCUGUGAGCCUGAGCUAGAGCCUUGCUCUUGCUCUCUUUCUUCCCUCUCUUCCCUUCUGCUUUGAGGUCGUUGUCUCCUUGGUUGCCACUCUUCCUCUUCUUCUUCUUCCUCCUGUCUCCUUUGGGGUCGGGGUUGUUGUUCUUGCUCCCUUUCCCUAUGAUGUUCU